UUCAUUCCAAGUUAACAUCUAAUUUGAUAUGAAUCUUGAACAUAAAAACUUUUAAGAAGUAUGUAUAUAUAAAUUUGUUUGUUUAAAUAAAUUUGAUUUUAACUCUAUCGAACCAACUCUUAACUCCAUCGUUACACAUAUCAAAGGCAAUCACUACUUCAGCAUGCACUUAAUUUCUUUGUCCAUAUGUAAUAUAACACUUCACGAUAUAUAUUACUACGUGUGACAUCGUAAUUUGAAUUUGUGAAACAAAUUAUUAUUCUAAGAAGUGUGAAAACAAAAGACUAUUGAGAUUCCUUGCUCUUGAGAAGAGUUGAACUAUUAUUGUCCAUUCGAUAGUAACUUUUAUUUUAUAUAUGAUAGAAACUAAUAGCAAACCAUGACUUGUAAAUUUAAUUGCUACAAUAAUCAAUUCAACUUCGACUAAUAUGCACUAAUAUAUGAUUAACCAUGUAGCAUAACUAGAUUAUUUUCUUAGCAAUUAAUUAAUUUGUAUCAAAACCAUUAGCUAGGGUUUGAUUCUCAGUGAAAAUGGGGCAAUAUAGGAAUUGAAAUAAUGAAAAUAAAUAUCUAAAAGGUAUAAUGUACCACCUGCCAGAAGUAUGGAAUACUCAAUCUCAGAGUAUGAAUACAGGGUAGGCCAUGUGUGAGUGUGAUAGAGAGAUAUUUUAUACAUCAUCAUUUCGUAUACAAAAUUUUGAAAGAACAGACAGUCUAGCUACCAGCCGCUGCUUUCAAUUUCUCAAUUUAUAAUAUAAAAAAGAAUAAGAGCCAAAACCAAAAUCAAACUCAUCGUGGGAACUACAGGCCAUCCAAUUUUAGGAUCGUGCAAUUGUAGCUAGCAUUCAAGUUAUCUCAUGAAUUCGAUGCCAUUAUAGCUAGCUAGAAUGAACAUGAAAUUAUUGGUCCCCCAAUCCUGGCCUGCAAUGUCUCGAUUGUACAGCUUUCUUCUUCUUAGAUAUUUUGUUGGUUUUUAAUUAUGAACCUUAAGUUUUGUUUGUUUAUUUAUUUAUCGUGGCAACUUUUUUGGAUAUUUUGUUUGGUUAUUAAUAUUGAUCUUCAUAUGUUAUUUAUUUACUUAACCUCGUAUUUUCCUAAAGUUUGAAUUCAGAGUAACUAGUUAAAUAAAACUGUCUAAACCUAACGAAAUCUCUAGAGUGAUCUUCAUAUGAUUUUGCUUCCACACGAUUUAUAAUUGAUGACUCUUAUAGGGUACUUGUAUUAUUUUAUGUUAUGAGGUAUAUAAUUUUACCAUUUCCUAUAUAUAAUUCUGUUCUCAACCUCGCAUGCCUUGCAAUAAGUCAAUUCAUGCGUGCGCCGUUCGAUAAUGAACCCUAUAAUUUUCACCAUCGAUUAGGUUACUGCUGUAGGUUAUAAUUUGGUUCACAACUUGACCAUUUUUUUUUCCUCCCUUUUUCCGUUCAUAAGUCAUAACUUGGAUAUAGGUAAAUUUCUGUCAGUCACUAGGACUAGGUAUGAAUUCUCAAUUGAUCCUUGUAAUUUAAAAAAUAUUUAGAAACAUCCAACCAUUACUUUUGUUGGUAUUAUAUAUUAAUUUUUUAGUAUGAAAAACUACUAUUUAAUUAUUUUUACGAGUAACGGCAGAUUUGUUAACCACUUUUCAUCAAAAAGUAAAUGUUUAGUCUCCUUCAGUCCUUAGUAGGGAUGGCAAUGGGCACCGCCCGCAGCGGGUUUGCCAUUACCAAACCCAAACCCGCACAAAAUUUAAAUUACCAAAUCCACCCGCAACCCGCAGCGGGUUUUAAUUUUUUUUAAAAAACCCACCCGCAGCGGGUUUUAACAAUUACCAAACCCGCAAUGGUACCCGGCGGAUUUUUUGCGGGUUUCCGUAUUUAAAAUCACAAAUGUUUAAUAUAUAAAUUUAUAAUAAUAACCUCAAAUUCCAUAUAACACACUCAAUUUUAUAUUUAAACAAUGUAAAUGAAAAAUUAAAAUUUCCACAUUAAUCCAACACAAAUUCUCAAAUUUAAGUAUAAAUUACACAAAUUCAUUUAAAAAACACAAACUAGUAUCUAAAAAUAAUAAUUAAAUUUCAUAUUAUCAUUUAAAACAAGCUCCAAGAGAAGAUAUUCAUUUCAUCCACCACUAUAAGCACCCAUCCAACACAAUGCCUAUAAUAAUAAUUAAGAUUAAUAUUUUUAAAUACUAAUUCGAAGGAAAAUGCCUUUAGUUUUCUUUAGGUUAUGACUUUAGAAUGAGAGAUGGGCCACAUACACGCAUACACAACUUUGAGCCUAUUUGGUAAUGACAUUAUUUUCUUUAUACAUUUUUAGAUUAAAAUUAAAUUAAAAAUAUUUGGAAAAAAUAUUGCGGGUUUGGUGGAUAUCCAUGCGGGUAUCCACCGGAUAUAAGGUUAAUACCAAACCCACCCGCAUCCAUGUGCGGGUUUUAGUUUAUAAUACUAAACCCGCCCGCAACGGAUAAAAUUACCCGCAGCGGGCGGGUUUUGGCGGGUGGGUUUGGACGGAUUUGCGGGUUUGCGGGUACAAUUGCCAUCCCUAGUCCUUAGGAUUUGAGUCAAUUGCCUCGCUAAUCCAUGUGCACUUUGAAAAAUUACCCAAAUGGUAUUGUGUUUAUGUUAAAAAUCUACCUCAUUAUUUUCUUUUUUUCAACUAUUUAUUAAUGUAUGUAUGUUUUUGUUAGAAUUUUAAACUGUACUAGGAAAAAAUUUUACUACAAAAAUUAAUUUAAAUAGAUAUAAAAGUAACAACACGGAUGUUUUAGGUAAUUUUUAAAAAUACAGAAAUUAACUAGUAAUUAGCCCAAACUCUAAUGACUAAAUGAGAAUUUACUUAAUUUUAUUUACAUUUGAGAAAUAGUUGAGAGUAAGUAGAAAAAGUAACAAUUAUGUUACAGUUAAUUAUUUAAAAUAGUUUAAUUAGAGUGAUGUUAUGCUUACUUAGUUGGGAUAUUUAGUUUGUAUCUUAAUUGAUCUAUCAUAAAAUAAAAUUUCACAAUUUAUAUUAAAAAUGAUAAAACUUAAUAAUUAACUAUUUCUUGAGUCAAUCAAAUAAUGACACAUCAUUCGCCACAUUAGUUGGGAUACAAACUAAGUAUCCCAAUUAAUUAAGCAUAAUAUUAUUGUUUUAUAUGAUUAAAUAUUUCUUUUAAACCUUUAAAAUCCAAAAAAAUUUGAUAAAACUAUGCAAAAAUCCAAGAAUUUAUUACAUAAAUAAAAUUAACUACCUAGGCAGGGAUGGACAAAAAGUCUGAGCCACUGAAUUAACCGAACCAAAUCUAAGAUUUUUAAAUUGUGAAAAAAUCGAUUGGUUUAAAGUAGAAAAAACUGAUAAAUACAAAAUAUUUAAACUAAAAAAAUUGAAAAAACUAAACCGAACUAAACUACGGUGGCGUUUGUUUUUUAACUUAAUGACUUAAAGUGACUUAACUUAAUUAAUUAAGUUAAUUAGAGAUGUUUGUUUUUAUAACUUAAUAAGACUUUUUAGAUAAUUUUGACUUAAUAAAAUAAGCUAAUUUUUUUGGCUUUUUACUUAAUGGAGAAAUCUGAAUUAAGUCAAUUACUUGCUAAUGUCAAAAAUAUCCCUAUUUUAUAAUUUAUUUUUCAUGUCUAUCCCGAAACUCACCCAUAGAUAUUUACCCCACAUAAAAAUAUCCAUAUUUUUUCUUUCUUAUAUUAUAUACGAUAAAAUUUGAAAUCGAUGGUAUUUUAUAUAUUAAAAUUUCAAAAUAAUUAUGUAUUCACUUUAAUAUAGUUUUACUUAUAAAUGUUAAAAUAUUGUGGUAUUUAAUAUAUUAUUUAUUUGACAUUCAAAUUUAAUAAGGACACAAAUGUAAAAGUACAUAUUUUCAGCUUUUUAAGUUGAAAAAAACAAACAACUUAAUACUUAUUUUCUGAAAUUCAGACGAAAAAACAAACAUAUUAUUCAGAUUCAGAUAUUCAGACUUAUUCAGAAUUCAGACUAAUUCAGGUCUAUUCAGAUUUCAGACAAAAAAACAAACGCCACCUACAUCUGAAUCCAAUUUCAGUUCGAUUUGAUUUAUUAUUUUUAAUAAGUUAAUUCGAUUCAGCUCGAUUCAACAAAAAAUCAAAACGAACCAUGCUCAUCAUAUAACGAUAUGAUUUUGCAGGAAAUUACCUUACUUCAAAACUUCAAAGAAAAAGUUAGGAUUCGCAAGUUCACUUAAAGAUUCGAAUGAACCAUACAAUUUUGAAUUAUCUCACCAUCGCAAAAGAAGGGGGGCAAAAUAAAAUAAAAAAAGAGAAGAGAAGUUCAGUUAAAGAUUUUGUGAAGGCCCAUGAAUCAUUUUUCCUUUUCGAGUGCACACGCACACACACACACACGUUAAAUCAAAUCGGUCCACUAAGAAUGACUUUAUUGAUAAUAAUACACUUGAUUUCAAGAAUAAUUGUGUUUUUAGUGUCUAUUAAUUCAUUGUGUUGUUCUCACUUUUUCUUUGAAAUGGUAAAUCUUACCUAAAAGCAAAUUAUUAACAAGACGGGAGAAUUUUUUAUCAUUGCAUUUUGGUUUAUAUGUCAACAUCAAGAUAGUAAUACCAAUUAUAACUAUAAUUAUAUGAACAAGAAAUCGCAACAAAUAAAGAUUAAACAGUGGAAGCUACAAUGGUUGUGAUCGUGUUUCUAGGCUUCUAGCCAAGUAUGUUAAUUCAGAUAAUUUAGAUGCUGACGUGUGGUGGGAAAGGUUUCAGGCCAUUUCAUACGUCUUGCACAGAUUGAUUGGACACGCCCUCGAGCUAUUGAACAGAUUGGGCCAUAAGAAUAUAUGGUCUUGGCCUGUUUGGAGAUGAUAUGCUAAUCCGUCGAGUCGUUUAUUUGAGAGUCAAGACCACAAGUUUCACUAAUUCAAGACCACAAGUUUCACUAAUUCUUGUGUUGCGAUUUUGGGUGGCGUGAUGGUUGUUGUGAAGCGAGACUGAUGGCUGGUUUAAACAAGAUAAUGGACCUAUUUCUAGAUGGUGGUGUGCGGUGGCGGACCCAUAAACUAAAAUGAGGGGACUUAGUUCAAAAAUUUUUAUUUAACUUAAAUUUUUUUAAAUGUUCACUUGAAUACAUUUUAAGUUUUAUAAACUCAAAUUUUAUUAUUUUUUUAAUUCUAAAUAAUAAUAGUAAUAAAUUAUUUUUUUAAAUGCGUGAAAAUAUCAUUUUUCGAAAUAGUUUCCACAAAAUAUUUAAAAAAAAAAUAAAAUAAUGUAGCUACUGGGAUUUGAAUCAAGGUUUUGAAACCAUAAAAUAAUACUCUUACCAUUAAACUACAAGUCUUUUAACAUAUAAAAAAUGUGUCCAAAUUUAUUUAUUUAAUUUUUUCAAAAGGGGCUUGGGGUACAUUUAAAAGAAAAUUUAAUGGCACAGGGGCGGCUAAAGCCCCUCCUGAGCCUUAAUUGGGUCCGCCCAUGGUGGUGUGAGAGUGGAGUGCACUGAGUGAAUAAUGGAGAACAAUAAUAAGGUUUUAUGCGAGAAAACUUAGGAUGCAAGUUAACUGGACUGUAGAAUACAGACAACGCUUAACAUCAUAGAACUAAUUUUGUUUCUUUUAAUCAGAAAGAAAAAAAAAAUGACUUCACACACCAAAGAGAUCUAAUGAUCAUGCACGAAGUCUGGCCUGCUCUUGACACUUUUUGUUUUUUUCUUACCCAUUGCAAGUAUUGUAACUUGUAAGUAAAUACCUCAUUAGAAAAAAAAAUAAAAUUAUCCACCGUGCAUGCUAAGACAAGAUAAAAUGUAACAACAAAAACAAUAAAUCAAAUAGUCAAUAAAAUCAACUGCUCGCAAAAACAAAAUUAAACAUACACAAUCAUAAUUCUAUUGAAUAAGAUAUGUACAAACCUUUCUCGUUCGGUAGCCAUUUUGGUCUCCGUUUAUCGAACAAAUUUGUAAGCUGAACACUAAAAACUAUGACUUGUCGUUUAUCACUUUAUUGGCAUUCUAAUUGAGGAUAAGAUUGCCAUUUUAGUAAAAAUUGUGAGUCGGGGUUGGAGAUGAUAAAAUGUUGGGGUUAAUUAGGAAGACCCAUUUUGUUGUUUAUUUCGGGUUCGAUAAGCCAGGAUAAGGAUGUUCUUUCUUCUGUUCAUGUGAUGGCUUAUGGGCUUUAUUUCAGGCUCAAUAAGACAAGUCUAAUUUACUAAAUCCCCAAACUUUCUUUGUCCCCAAGAAAAAUAAUAAAAGUUUCUGCCAUAGUUAACAAAUAAAAGAAACAAAAAGAAAAUGAUUCAUAGAAUAAAAUUCUUAAUUGCCUGUAUUUACUACUUCAUAAUUAUAUUUGGAAUUAAAAAUUUAUAAUUAUUUUCAUAUUAUUACGUGACUUAACUUUCAAGUACCAAAAUAUAAAAUGUUUUAAUAUUUUAUUAAUAAAUAACUAAUUAUUUUCUAAAUAAAUCCGGUUCAAGCCGCUAAACCCUCACCCUGUCAGCGACGCACCCCGGUCCCCUCCCCAGGGUUUUAUCGGCCCGCCACUGAUUGAACACCACAAAACAGGCAAAUUUAUUUGCUCACAAUCACCUCCUUCUUCUUGGGGUGGAAAAAAAACAGAAAAAUUCAUUCUUUUCGUCUGGGACAGUGUCAAAAAUGGAAUUUUGUGUUUGCUAAAUGAAAGCCCUCACUGUGUUACAAUUUUCAAAAGAAUGGUAACAAGAAAGCCUGGUUCAAGCCACUUCUUAUCUAAUACAAGAAGAAGAGCAAUAACAAGUUGUACACUUGAAGUUGAGCGAGAGCCACUGGCAAACGUGGCCUCAGCGUCACAAUCGACCUUCAGUGACCACAAAAUGUUUUGCUUCUCCUUAGCUGACCAACUUAUUAAUCGUGGCUUAAUUACAUCUGCCCAGCAAGUAAUUCAGCGCCUUAUAGCUAAUUCUGCCUCACUUUCUGAUGCACUUUCCGCAGCUGAUUUUGCAGCUGUUCGUGGCAUGAGGUUUGAUUCGGGUAGCUAUAGUGCGCUUAUGAAGAAACUGAUUAAGUUUGGUCAAUCCCAGUCAGCUCUUUUGCUUUAUCAGAAUGAUUUUGUUGCUUUAGGUAUUGAUCCUGACCCUGCUAUUUUGAAUUCUGUCAUUAUUGGUUACUGUAAGCUAGGGAAUAUAGAGGAUGCAUUACGACAUUUUGAUAGGCUUAUUUCAAAAAAUAUUGUUCCUAUUAAACUUGCAUGUGUUUCUAUCCUCCGAGGGUUAUUUGCAGAAGAAAAGUUUCUGGAGGCUUUUGAUUAUUUUAUUAAAAUUUGCAAUGCUGGCGUGGAUUUGAAUUGUUGGUCUUAUAAUGUUUUGAUUGAUGGGCUGUGCUAUAAAGGGUUUUUAGAUGAAGUUUUGGAAGUUGUUAAUAUAAUGCGUAAGAAAAAAGGGUUAGUGCCUGCACUUCAUCCGUACAAGUCUUUGUUUUAUGCUCUUUGUAAGAAUAGACGGACUGUGGAGGCUGAGUCGUUCGCCAGAGAAAUGGAGUCGCAGGGUUUCUAUGUGGAUAAGCUGAUGUAUACUUCUUUGAUUAAUGGGUAUUGCAGCAAUAGGAAUAUGAAAAUGGCAAUGCGACUUUUUUUCAGAAUGCUCAAGACAGGUUGUGAGCCUGAUAGUUAUACUUGUAACACAUUGAUUCAUGGGUUUUUCAAGAUGGGUUUGUUUGAUAAAGGGUGGGUUCUGUACAGCCAAAUGAGUGACUGGGGAUUUCAGCCAAACAUGGUGACUGAUCUUAUUAUGAUCAGUAAUUAUUGCAGGGAAGGGGAAUUAGAUGCUGCUUUGAUGCUUUUGAAUAGCAAGGUAAGUAGCAAUUUAGCUCCUAGUGUGCACUGUUACACAGUUUUGAUUGAUGCUCUUUACAAGCACAAUAGGCUAAUGGAGGUAGAUGAAUUAUACAAAAAGAUGCUGGCCAACAGGGUUGCUCCUGACCAUCUACUAUCUUUUAUCCUUUUAAAGAACUGCCCAGAGGGGACGGAGCUUCAGCAUGCUCUGAUGUUGUUGUGUGAAUUUGCCAAGAUUGGAUGUGGUAUUGAUCCCCUGGCUCGCUCAAUUUCUGCUACUCUGAAUCCCACUGGGGAUUUGUGUCAAGAGAUUGAGCUUCUGCUUAGGAAAAUUGUGAAAAGUGACACAAAGCUAGCUAACGUGGCAUUUACUAUUUAUAUCAGCGCCUUGUGCAAGGGAGGAAAAUAUGAAAAAGCUUAUGUUUGCUUGUUUCAAUUGGUUAAUUUUGGAUACAGACCUUUGGUUUUUACUUGUAACACUUUGAUAAAGUGCUUCUAUCAAGUGGGUUUUCUUGAGGGGGCUAAUGCCAUAGUUGAACUUAUGCAAGAUACUGGUAUGGUUGCGGAUGUUGAGACUUAUCUGAUAAUGGUAGAGGGAAACUGUAAAUGGGGUAAUCUAGAUUCAGCCUUGGACAUUUUGGAUCAAAUGGAGGUGAGAGGACCAAAACCUAGUGUUGCGUUUUAUGAUGCAAUUAUUGGCCAUCUGUGCAAGGAGAAAAGAAUACUUGAAGCAGAGGAUAUGUUCAAGAGGAUGUUGAAGGCAGGAAUAGAUCCUGAUGAGGUCUUCUUUACAACAAUGAUCAAUGGCUAUCUCCAGAAUAGAAAACCUAUUGAAGCUUGUCAGCUGUUUGAGAAAAUGAAAGAGAAUUCUGUUCAGCCAGGAUCCUAUCCUUAUACUGCUCUGAUCAGUGGGUUAGUGAAGAAAGGAAUGGUGGAUCUGGGAUGCAUGUACCUUGAUAGGAUGUUAGCAGAUGGUUUUGUGCCAAAUGUUGUGCUGUAUACUGCUCUUAUCAAUCAUUUCCUAAGGGCGGGCGAGUUUGAAUUUGCCUCUAGACUAGAGAACUUGAUGGUCACAAACCAGAUAGAAUUUGAUUUGAUUGCUUAUAUUGCUUUGGUCAGUGGUGUUUGUAGACGAAUAACUGGUAGGAAGAAAUGGCUUGACGUAAAUAGAUGUUCUGACAGUGGAAAAGAAAUGUUGUUCCACAAGCUUCAGCAAGGAACUCUUGUGCCACGUACAAAGAGUACAGCAUUUUCUGCUGUUUUUUCUAAUGGGAAAAAAGGGACUGUACAGAAGAUCGUGCUGAAAGUUAAAGAUAUUGAGUUUAUGCCAAACUUGUACCUCUAUAAUGAUAUAUUUUUGUUACUUUGUGGGGUAGGGAGGAUGGAUGAUGCUUAUGAUCAUUUCCAAAUGAUGCAAAGAGAAGGAUUACGUCCCAAUCAAGUGACAUUUUGUAUUCUCAUUAAUGGGCAUAUUGCAGCUGGUGAAAUUGAUCAAGCCAUCGGGUUGUUCAAUCAAAUGAAUGCAGAUGGUUGUGUUCCAGAUAAAACUGUUUACAACACUCUACUAAAAGGUCUUUGUCAGGCUGGUAGAUUGUCUCAUGUGUUUUCAGUCUUAUAUUCAAUGCAUAAGAGGGGAUUUGUCCCUAAGAAGGCUACUUAUGAACAUUUACUGGAAUGUUUUUGUGCUAAUUGUUUGAGCAUUCCUGCUUUCAACAUGUUUAAAGAGAUGAUUGUGCAUGAUCAUGUACCUUGUCUGAGUAAUUGUAACUGGUUGCUCAACAUCUUAUGCCAAGAAAAACAUUUUCAUGAGGCUCAGAUAGUGCUUGAUGUGAUGCAUAAAAGAGGGAGGCUCCCUUGCAAAUCCACCAGAGGAUUUUGGAGGCAACAUUUUAUAGGCAAAGAGAAAUUCAAUUUUUAGACCAGAGAUGAUAUCCUUACUUCUUCUGGUUGGUAAGGAAUUACCUUGGUGCAUCUUUUUAUAAUUGCCUUAUCUUGUUCUCUCAUUUCUGUUCUUAAAAAAUAUUCUCAUGUUCCAAAUGCAGUCAUAAUGAGGCCUCCACAGCCAAUGAACAGAAAGUUCAAUUUGGGUCUGACGGGGCUCAUGGAGAAAAUUCUAUGGCGUUUCUGCUAACCAUCAGGUAGAUUAUCAUUAUUAUUGUUAUGAAAAAAGAAAUUCCAUUGAACUAAUUUCUAUACUGAACUCAGAGUUCUAAAAUUUAUGUUAUGCAUACAGUAAUAAUCAAAUGCUUUUAUAUAUUCAUGAACGAUAGCAAUACAUGAAGGAUGCCAUUUUUAGAGAGGAUUAGCUUUUUGACAAAACAUGGGACUUUUAUUUUGUUUGAUAUAUAUUUGGGCAUGUUAAUCUCCUUUCGUUAAGGGUUCCUGGUCUCAAUGUCUUGGCAGUUCAAUAAUAUUGUCUUGGAUGGGAUAGAUGGGGAAGAUGAUCCAUGUAUUCUCACUAAUUAAUUUGAAGCUUGCUUUACAUAUUUGCUGCAACUCGGAAAUAUUCAAAUUGAGCCUUUUACUUUCCUUUGCCUGUUGGGCAUCCAAUAAUGGAGUCCCAAAGUUCUUUCUCUCACUAACUGAGCCUUAUUUAAUCCAAUGGCUUUUAUUUCUUUUCAGUUUUUCGCUCCUUGAGCCUUUGAGCUCUUUGCUGUGCGGGAAAAUGCAAAUAAACUAAAUUGCUUUUCUUCAUUUUUACUUCUUUAAGCCAUAUAAGGUUCUUUAUUUCUCUUCAUAUUUGAUUUUGUGAUAUGGGUUCUUUGUUUUCCUAUUAUUCUGCAGUAUUUUGGGUUUUCAUGUUGUGUCUGCACUGAAUUAGUGAAGGGUAUUUAAGUGCCACAGUAGAUUAAGGUCCAAACAUGUCAUUUGAAAUUAUUAUUUUCUUGGCAUGGUUUUCUUCUUUUAAUUUGUCUUUUUGGGAUCAUGGUUCAAUGUAUUGAAAUAAAUCUUCAGGAAUUAUAUCCUGAUUGGUGAUUUUUGUUUCUCCAGCAAUGAGUGCAUUGUAAUCUCUGUCGCUUUUAAAUGUUGCAAGCUCUGUUGUUUGUUUCAAAUUUGAAUUUUUUUAUGAAUGGAGAGGCUUGUUUUCCCCUACUAAUUUUUUUUUCCCUUUUGUAACUUGAGUUUUUGGACCAGCGACUGUUUUUGAUCAAUGCUGGAAGCUGCCUUGGAUGGGAAACUGAGUCCAAAUCCUUUCGGAGCUGUUAUGGUACGAAACUGGACAGAGUCAUACUUCCCUUUCAGGUCAAAUUGAACUGCAGUAAUUUUUUCCUUUCUUAUCACCAAUUAUGAUUUUAUGUAAUUAACUUUUUCGAUUUGCUCUCUUUUCAUUUUUGGUGUUGAACAAAUGAUUUAACCUGCUAUGCUGCUGGUAUUUCAUUGUUGUUUGCUGAUAGGUACCCAUUUAUGUUAUUCCUCUUUCAUUGCCCCAGCCAUAUGGUUGAUCUUUUCUUCUUGCUGCCCACGAAAGAGUAGAAAAAAUCAUUCUUGAAGUAAGGCGGUUCCAUAAAUUCAGAAAGGAAACAGAGAGUUUGUUACAUUAUCCAGCGCAUAUCAAGCUGACUUGCACACAUCCAUUCUGAAUUAGAGAGUUGAUCCUUUCCUUCGAAUGAAACCAGCAUUUUCUUCAAAAGUGGUAAGGUCUCAGUGAAAUCAUUUUAUGACUUGCACGGAGGUUUUUUUUUUUUGUCCCCUCUUUUGUGAUGUUUGGACGGGGGUACAGUAAGUUAGUUUAAUGAGUUGUUAAGAAUCAAUAUAUUGUUAUUAUAUUUAACCACUCAUUAAUACAAGUUAGAGUUGCUAAUAUAUGGCUAGUUUUGCUAGGUUAGGAGUAAAGGCUAAAGAACUAGAAAUUGAUAUCAAUACAUGAAGGUUAUUUAACCAUAUAUGAGAGAACAAUUCAAGAUUUAGAAAGGUCAUAAUUUUUUUUUUUUUUGGGGUUUUUUGUCAAUUCUUGGGUCCAGACAAGUGGACAAGGGCCUUUAAAACUUACAAGAUUCAACUCUUACUCAAAGUUGAUUUGAGAUUCAAUUUAUUUAUCUCACUUCUUGUCUUAGAAGCAAACAAAAUGGACAAAACAGAUCUUGUUGAUUUACUGUUUAUUUUCUUUGUGCCCAUGGUGUAUGUUGAUGUUCUAUUAUCAGAUGUUGUAAUUAUUUUGUCUAUUGGAUUAUUAACUUGAUUAAAGUGCAUCAAAUUAAAAAAAAAAAAGUUGAUUUCCAUGUUGAAUAUGUUCCUUGUUCGUGUUUAUUUUAGAGGUGCUUGAUUUAGCUGAAUUAAUAGGACAUUGGCUAAAGGACUCCAUACGAAUAGACCCAAAAAAGAAAAAAAAAAGAAAAAAGAAAAGCCCAAAUUCACUCUGGUUACUAGAGAUGUUCAGUUCAUAUGCUUUUUUGGUACAUCUGCUGAUGCCGCUUGUGGAUACGCUGGAUUAAACUUGGAAUGGCCCCAGAAAAGGUCUAAGAGUUUCUCUCGUUGGCUAAAUCGAACAAAAAUAUUACUUAAAUCAUUGUCUCAUCAUAGAAAUAGGCCAUUGCUAAAGAACUCAAACCAUGUCCUCUCUGGAUAGCAGAGAUUUUCAACGUAGAUGUUUUUUUGGACAUCUGCUGAUGUUGCUUCUUCCCUUGGCUAGAAAUUGGAUUAGAUUGACCUGGAGUCCACUUUUGUUGAAUCUUAUGCUUAGCUGGUUAGUGAUAAAUCAAGCUAUUUAUUUUCUGUGAUAUUAGCUAUCGGAAUUAUGGUUGUUUAGAUUGAGUUGUAAAUGAUGAUCGUUAAAUUAUCGUUUUACCCAAAAGCUUAGGUCAUAUGUAUUAGCACUUGCCUGAAUAAUAGCUUUUAGACAGUCACACACCUUCUCCACAAGCAAGAUACAUGAACUAAAACUCAACCACAUCCACAAACUUCACAACCAACAAAAACAAACAUAACUUAUUAUAGUCUAAUCACUUCAAUUAAUCAAGUGAUUCAAACAUUUGACCACUUGAUCGAAAUUCGGAUGCAAUACCAUAUCAAGUUUCCUCUUGACUCAAAAGCUUAAACUCUUAGGUAUUAUCAACCAUACUAAUGUUUCAUAUUUCUUCAGUUGACCAAAGUGAAUCUUUGAAGCUGCGUCCAACAAUAGAUUAUGUCAAAGAUUAUUGUUACAGUUUCAGAACACAGAAUAAUUUUUUCAGGUAGUUUCCAUCUGAAGUGCUUCAGUUCUAUCAUUGUUUUACACGUGUUUGACCUGAACUUAAUUUUUUGGGCACUUUGGUGAAUCCUACAUGCAGGCUUAAAAAGAAGCUGCUGAAACUAUUCUCUUAGACGACUUCAAACAAAGCAACUGGAUCUUAUGGAGGAAAUUUCCUUGAUUACAAUAGCUCAGACCUGACAUGUCUCAUGUACUUUUGUCCUGACCCACAUCAGCAAUGAUGGUACCUUUAACUCUUUCUCCUCUUUGUUAAUAGAUAUUUUUGCUCUCUGUUUUUUCUUGUGAUUGAUUUUUUAACUGUUUAUUUUUUCCUAGAAGUCUACAAUUAUUAGAACUAAAACUGAUACUAACUUUAGGAAAUGGUUUGAUAUUAUUCUCGAAUAUAGUGAUAUCAGCUUUAAUUCAUAUGAGAUGACUAUAUUUAAACUGGAUGUGCAAUAUUUUUAUUUUCACUUGCUGAGUCUUGUUAUAUUUAGAUUAAAUUACAAAUAGAGGAGAAGAGUUCGUGUAUUCUAACAAGUUUCUGCAAUUAAUGCCAUGUGCAGUUGAUCCUGAUGCCGUCAUAAGCUGCAUGAAUUUAUGGAGCCGGCAGUAGCUUUGAAUUUGGAAAUGUGUAGUUCUCGAAGUCUUUAACCAGCCUGCUUGGUUCGUUUGAUAAUUGAUGCCAUUCUGUUCUGUAUCGAAAGUAAUUUUUUUACCCUCUUGGAUACGUGAAGAAGAAUUUUAUUUCUGUUCCAUUACAUUUGGAAUUUACAAGGAAACAACUUGUACAAUCACUGAGUAUUAAUCCCACGCGCAAUUGAAUCGUGAAAUAAUUAAAGAACAAAAUAAUAAUAAUUAUAAUAAUAAAAAGAAAAGGAUUGCUACUAAUGUUGAACACGAUCAAAGGCCAGACCUGAACGGCACACCAGUCGCUGGCAGCCACGAGUUUCCGGCAAUGAAGCUUCCAACUGUGAACUUUGAGGCUUCGGUAGCGCUGGUUAUAACCCGGUAGCCGCGCCACUUCACUCUUCCACUAGUUGAUGCAGCCGGGCCAAUGUUCUUAUACUCCCCAUAAAACAGUGUGUUGAGAGCAAAAUUGCCACUCCAUUCUAGCCAACCAGCAGGAUCAACCAAAGAAUCAAGGUACGUUUGCAUGUAAACUGUACGUGAGUAUUCUUUCCAUGGUCGUCCUAAGAACGUUUUGAAUUUGCUUAGCACUGGCACAAGAUCCGGUGCUGCCAUAACUCGAGAAUUAUGUAUCGAAAUCCCUGUAUUUUGAUUAGGGUCUGUUCUGCCUUGGGCGGUGACCACGUUCUUCUGCUUAUCCAUCGGCCUUCUUGCGUAAAUCAUACAGUUUUGAAGAACAACGGCGGCAUUUCCAAAAAUGAAGUCAACUGUGCCAUAGAUGUAGCAUUCUUUGUAGAAUUGUCUUUGUGAAUGGACGUAGAGAGUAUCUUGGUAACCUUCAAAGCCACACUGGUAGAAUACCGAGAGAUCAGAGCCUGCUCGGAGGGCGACUGCUUGGUGGUUCUGUGGGCCGGCUGUGUUGCGGAAUGUGAUGCCACGAGCAAUGAACCCAUCUCCGGUCACAGCUGAAUCAAGCAAAAGAAUAUUAACCUUCGUUACUUAAAAUAGAAAAAAUUUGUAAAAUAGAUAAAUUAUGAACGUGCUUAUAUACCAACAGUUGCAGAGUUGAAAGUCGUAAAGCCACCCCCAACACUUCUGCUACCAGUAAUGAUAGUGUAUCUCAAUCCAUCACCAACCAGCAUAAUGUUUUUCAUUUUGUUACCAAUCUCAAGAUUCUCCUUGUAAACUCCUCUCUUAACAUGUAUCACGAAUCUCCCACUGCCCGUUCUCUUCGCCGCAGCAUCAAGCGCUGCCUUGAUAGUCCUGUAAUUCCCUGAUCCAUCUUGAGCCACCACAAGAUUUGGUCUCACUGGAGAUGUUUGUAACAGCUUCCUGUCACCGGGUUUGACCCAGCUGGGGAACCCGCCUUUGUAAGUUUCAGGAACAGUUGAAGCGUUUCUCAGAGCCAAUGUGUUGCUUAUGAGCUUUGUGACAUUGUUAGACAUGAGGGGGAGUACGUAAUCCGGCACGCCUAGCUCAACGAACCCUGCUCGACAAGUUUCAAGGUUCGUUAAGGCAGUGCUAAGCCAAGUUUGGGCAUCAAAAUCGGUGCAUUUUGUGUUGGAGUCAAGGGUAUGGUUGAGUUGAUUGAUGGUAUCUUGAUAGAGCUUCAAGCAAUCAGCCCAUGCAACCUUUUCUUUGUGGUUCCUGCAUUUGGAACCAAGCCACUUGUUGUGACUCUGAGCAGUGAGUGCCCGGUCCAAUGCAAGGCUCAUUGCCAUUCUACGAAACUCGGAUUUUUGCUUAGGGACGGCGAAGUGUUUGGAGUUUUGUUGCAUGAAGUACUUGCAUGGUUCUGGGUGUGGAGUUUUGCUGCACCAAUAGUCGACGCCAUAGGAGGCCACGCUUGAAAGAGCAGGAGCAAAGAAUGAAAUUAAGGAUAUGAAUAAUAGGAAUACGCUUAGCUUCAUUGCCAUUAAUGUGGAAGCUCAAAGAAUUGAAUUAAUGCUUGUUUUGGUAAUGAAUAUGUGUGGGAAUGAAUCUAUAUAUAUAGAGGAGAUCGCCAAUAGGUUGGUGGUAGCGUGACAGACUGGCAACGUUUGAACAAAGAGAAAAUGACUGCGAUUUUAUAUAAUGAAUUCUAACAAAGAUAACAAUAUAGAGAUUCUCUAUCGUUGUCUAUUUUUCUUUCUUUAGAAAGCCCUCGAUCGCUGUCUUAUUGUUGUUGUUUAUACAUUAUGUAUAUCGUCUUAUUUUUGUUGUUUAUUCAUUAUGUACAAGUUACGAUACGCCUUUUGGUCCAUGCGUGAGGAUAUGGUGUUUGCGCAUAUUGAAAUGGGUUAGUUUCAUUUGGCCCCUAAUAUUUCCUAAGAAACUUCAAUACCGCCCCAAAUUUAUUGUAGUUCUACAUUCCAUCCCAUGUCUUUACACUUCAUAGUUAAAAUACGCGAGGUUCCAGGUGAAAUUGUUUUUUUUUUCCCUUUUUUUUUUUGAAGUGACAUUGCAUCCCCACCCUUUUCUACCCUCAAACUAAAUUAUACUAUCCUCUUAGAUUUAAACUCGUGACUUGUUGUUUUCACUCAAAAGAUGCACAAACGAGGUUUUAAUUUAAGAAUAGUUCAAGGUAAUUUUUUUUCCCUCAAAAUCAUAAAAAGUUUUUUUUUUAAAAAAAAAACUUUUUUCAAUGAUCUUUCUUAUUUUUCUCUUAUUUCUCUAACAAUUGCAAAUGUCUUGCUCAAUUGACUAACCACGCAUAAUAUGAGAGGCCGUAUGUGGCUAGUAGGUAUUACGGCCAUGCAAAGAUAUUGAUAAUCGCUUAAUUAGAUUUGAUUUGGAUGAUUUUGAGUUUGAUUAGCUCUACGUAGGUUUGAUUUUGAAUUGCUGAUUUAUGGAGCAAAUAGAAAAUUGAGGGAAGCGGAGAGGGGAUUGAGAAAUGAAUUUGUUUUUUUUCUAAAACUGUAAAUUUUUUAUUUUUACACGUUCAAGGGCAAAAUUGAAUAUUGGAGUGUAGAGUAGAUGGCAACGACAUGGGGUGGAGAGCAGAGUUGCAAUAGAUUUUGGAGUGUAUUUACGUUUGCCAACAAAUGAUGGGGUGUAAUGAAAUAAAACCCACUAAUAGACUUAGGAGAAACACGUACGUGGAAUAAAGUCAAAUCAUAUUGGCAGCGCGUAUUUUGAUUGGAUUUUUUCAGCCAUUAGAGCUGCACACAGCACAGAGCAGCUGGUAUCCUUUUUCAAUGUACGUCCAGUCCUCCAGGAAACUUCAUGCAUGGUGAAUAGGAUUACUCAAUUUUCAUUUUCCUUCUUUGGUUUUAGAAAUUUUGAAUGGGCCAAAAUGUAUUUAAUGAUCACUUAGACAAAUGGAUUGUACACGAUACACUUUGGUAAAUAAACAUUGAGUAAUAAUUGGCUGUUGACAAAAUCGCAAAAAAAUCAUAUUUAUUAUUUGAACGCUGAUUUUUGAGUUGGGUGACCGUGACCCCAAUAACACAGAAUUAGUGUUGAAUACGCAGUACUUUUACGCACGUUUACAUUCUCUUCUGAGGAAGAGGUGGCAGCCACGAGCCACCCACCAAAUUUGAAAGACUAAACUUUGCCAUCGCAAUUGAAUAAUGGAUUCUAUUCAUAUUAAUUCCAAUCAUGGCAUUAACCUGUUAGCAUGUAACUUGCAUGCUUUUGUUGUAGGGCAUGGCCGUAUAUACAAAACCAACGUGCAGCCAGGCCCAGCGGUGUUCUGGUAACGAAUAAGAACGUCAACAAGAAUGCAAUAUUAAUUAAUUAAAUAACUUUCAAAAGAUGUAAUUUGACUUUUGAUUCUUAAAUUAAUCCUAAAACGCGUCAUGGCAUUCGAAAUGGUAGCGAGAACCGACAUGGCGAAAGAAUGUCGCCGAGGAACUUGAUGACUUUGAUAAGGCACUAUGAAGCCUGAGCAAGCGAGCAUAAUUAUCAACUCUUCCUUUUGUUUUUUAAUACUUCCAAAUUAAAAAAAAUAUAUCGAAGAAAUUAUUUUUUUUUUCUAUUUUUGAGCUUAAUAAAAAAAAUUCCAACUGCCGGAAUCAGUGGUUCGUCCUGCAGCUUCAGCAUUUUAGGCUUAUUAUGGCAAAGUUUUCCCCUUAAGGAUGAUUAUGGCACUAUUCAAGAACUAAAUAGAGAAAUAAACAGUAGAACUAAUUUAUUAACUAUGAUUUGAAAAAAAAAAUCAAUUAUUUUGAUGUGAUAAAGGCAUAUGAAAAAGUAAUGUAUAAACUUUAUUGCAUCACCCUCAAAAAAUUAAUUACUUAUUAAAAGAUUAAUGUGAGCUAAAAUAUGAAAGCAUUUGGGAUUUGUUAUAUAGGAAUCAAACUACGACAUAUAUACACAAGCUUAAUCCUAAACAAACAAUAUCCUUAGCAUCAAAAUAAUAGUGAUUACUUAUGAUUGGUGGAAUGUCAAUAUAACAUAAAAUAUUCCUUAAAUUUGCUGCCGGACUUGGAAUUUGUUUUCUCUUUGAACCAUUCAUUAAUUAAGAGCUUGAUAAUCAAAUCAUUAGUGAUAUAAUCAGGCUGGAAAAGAAUUAAUAUAUAAUUAAAUGAAUUAAUUUAUAAAAUUAAGUUACAGUUUUGUCAUUCUGUGAGCAUUGAAUGAUGAGUGGUGGGCAAGAGGUCACAUCUCCAGGUCUUAUGUGAUCUAAAUAUUAUACUACACGAGUUUGAAAUAACAUACAGCUCUCACAUUAGCUGGACGACUUGCAACAACUGGGCUCAAUUUUGCUCGCCAGCAGGGAAAGAAAUAUCAUCUUUAAUAAUGCUCUAACUUUCAACGUUCCUAGAUCAUCUUUUAUAUUCGGCGUUGGGCUGUUGGUUAACAUCAGCUUGGAUUUGUAAAGAAAUUUAGAUUUUGCAUUCUUCGUGCUUGAAAUUUUAUUAGCAUUAUCUUUCGUAUUAUCACUUAUAACAACUGCCUGACAAUUAUUGUUAUUACUGUAUUUUUUACUCCCGUAAUUGUACAAAAACUCAAAUCAUUCAUCUUAUAAAUAAGGUGAGGAUUUGCCAAACAUCUCAAUUAAUAGUUGCUGGUGCUCGACUAUUAUUGCCUAACUCAGUGUGUGUGUAAUUUAAAAAGAGGUUAUAGGUUUAGUCCAAUACAUACUCUUACAUAAAUAAUCACAUAAGGCUGGCAAUAUUUCUACCCCAUUAUUUUUAUAAAUUCACCUCACUUCAAGAAAAUAAUUAUGACAAAUUCACAUUAUUUAUAAAAUAAAAAAUUGAAAAAAUAUUUAGAUAAUUAAUCAAUUAAAUCUUUCAUACAUUUUUUUUUAAAUAAGUAUGUUUGACCAUUACGCACGCUUUAUUUUAAGAAUGAUUUUAUUUAACUAGUUUACCUUUAUAAUGUAAAAUGACCAAAUUACCUUAAGAAACAUGAGCUCUUGUAUCUUAGGUAUUUAAUUUUAUUUGAUUAAAUCUCUAAAAUUUUUCUUUUAAAAAAAUUAUUUAAAAAUAAUGUAUUUAUAGUGAUUAUUUAUUAUAGGUAGGGUGAAUUUAUAAAACUUGCGGGGUCAAAACAUCAUCACCCAUCAUACAAACUUUACUUUUGGGCUCACAGGUCAGGCUAAUGCUUGGGCUUUCUUUGGGCUCACAACCCAUAAUGUUGAUGAACUUGAAACUCUCUCCAUCAUAUUCCGAUCAAUUUAUAUUUCAGUUUUAUCAAAAUUUUUGUCAUGCAUGUUUUUCUAUCAUGCUUCUUUUUUAAAGUUUAUGGGUUUUUAUUAGAUAUUACUAGAUCUUUUGAUGUAUUUUUUUAUUGAAUUAAACUUUUUUAUACGGCAUUUUUUAUUCAGAGACUGCAAAUACAAUCGUUGCAUGUACACUUCCUUUUCUUGAAAAUAUUAAUCCAAUGGACUUUGUAAACAAAUAUCAAGAGAAAAAAAACCUUUUUUGUAUAGAUAAUUAAGGAAUAAAUCAACUACGAGUACAAAAGCAUCGGUGCUUCGAAAGAGUGUUGAUCUCUCAAGCAAAAAGCAUUUGGAUUUUGGAAGAAUUCCAACUUAAAUUACAAGUCUUGCUAGAUUAAUCCCUCUCAUUAAAUAUUUCAAGAAACAAUUUAACUGCACAAAAUCCUUCAAAAAUUAGUCAGUUCACUUUGUUUGAAUUCACUUGAAUUGUCACCGAAAAUUCCCAUCCUAAAUAAAGGAUGUUAGUAGCACAGUCAGAAGAAAAGAUUGCAUCCACGUUGGAUUCUUCAGUUCUUUUUCUGGGUAUAUUAAUCAUCCAUAUUUAAAUCAUAUAAUAUGAUUAUACAUAUUCUAGUAUAAAAUGUUUGAAUUUAAGUUUAAAUCACACAAAAUAAGCCGCUAUUAACAGAUAAAGACAAUGAAUAAUGAUUAAUUUACAGGCCUAAAAUGAAUGGCACACCAGUAGCCGGCAACCAUGAGCGGCCGGCAAUAAGGCUACCAACGGUGAACUGCGAGGCCACCUUUGGGCUUGUUAUAACAUGAAAGCCUCGCCACUUGACCCUAUGUCUAGUGGAAGAACCAGGACCGUAAUUCUUAUACUCCCCAUAAAACAAAGUGUCAAGUGCAAAAUUGUUGCCUGGUGACCAAGUUGACCAGCCAAGCGGACUAACAAAGCCAUCGAUAUAAGUUUUGAGAAUCACGGUUCUUGAAUAUUGCUGCCACGGCCUCCCCAAGUAGGUCUUAAAAUUACGAACCACUGGCUUAAGGUCAUUGGCAGGCAGGACACGGGAGUUGUGGAUUGAAAUUGCCGUGUUUUGAAAAGGGUCAUUGCGGCCUUGUGCUGUGAUCACGUUGGCUUGUCCCUUCAAGGGCUUUCUGACAAAGAUGAUGCAAUUUUGGAAGACCACAGCUGCAUUGCCAAAUAUGAAGUCGAUUGUGCCGUAAAUAUAACAUUUUUUGUAGAAUUGUCGUUGCGAGUGGACCAUGAGGGUGUCUUGGUAUCCUUGGAAGGCGCAGCGAUAGAAGACUGAGAGAUCUGAGGCUGAUCGUAGAGCUACUGCUUGUCCCUUUAAAGGACCUGCUGUGUUUUGGAAUGUGAUGUCCCGAGCCAUGAAGUGAAGUCCAUCAAUGCCUACAGGAAAUUGGUUAAUUAAUUAUAAUACAUAUAUUAGCCGAGGGUAUAUUUAACUAAUGACUUAGGAUAGUAAUAUAUAUUAGCGUACUGGUAACAAGAAUUAGGUACAUCAAAGUAUGUACAAUAAUUGAAUAGAAUCAUGACAUAUUUAGAAAAAUCUACACAUUUAAUGCUUCUAUUGGUUGGUUGUACGUAAAACGAAUGCCUCUAAAAGAUCUUUUCACAUCUUAUUAUAACUUUGAACAUUGGGUGUAAUUACAAUGUGCACACUCUACAUAUAUAUAUAUGUCAUGAUUUUACUGGUUAAGUUGUAUAUAUGCCGGUUGUAUAAAAUUUCUAUCCUCCUAAUCUAGUGCCACAUCCACAUGUAAUUAUUGCAUGAUCAGAAAUUUUUCUAAAAUUUAUUUUUACUAAUAAGUUAAAAUCGAAGCAAAAUUAUUUUCUAAGAAUUUUAUUGUAUAAUGAAACUCUAUAUAUAUAUAUAUAUAUAUAUAUAUUAUUCUUACCCGCAGUUGCAGAGCUGUAAGUUGUGGAACCGCUUCCAACACUUCGGCCGCUUGUGAUUAUUGUAUUUCUCAUGCCUUCACCAACCAGCAUAAUAUUAUUAUUAUUAAGACCAACCUCAAUAUUCUCCCUAUAAACCCCUCGCUUCACAUGUAUUAUAAAUCUCCCACUUCCUCUCCUUCCUGCAGCAGCAUUGAUAGCAGCUUGAAUGGUCCUAUAGUUCCCCGAACCAUCGGUUGCCACCACAAGAUUUGCCCUUGCUUCUAAAGAUGAGGACUCCAAUAAGUUCCUUUCAUGCCCCGAAAGCCAACUUGGAAACCCAUUUGUGUAGGUGACAUUUUCACGCUUCAACAAAACCCCAUUAACAGCCAAACUAUUGCUGAUUAGUUGAGAUAAAUUAUUAGACAUUACGGGUGUGAUGAAAUCGGAAACGUUUAAUUCCAUGUACCCUGAUUGGCAAGUUCGGAUAUUUGUUAGGGCAGUGCUGAGCCAUGUUUGUGCAUCAAAAUCAGUACAACUCCGGUCGGAUUUCAAGCCUUGUAAGGUGCGGUUUAGUUGAAGAACGGUGUUAGCAUAUAGCUUUACACAGUCGGACCACGCAGCUUUCUGAUGCUUGUUUUCACAAUUUGUUCCGAAUUCCAUGACUUGCUCGUGCGCUUUAUGGGCUUGCUCUAUGGCUACUUGGACUAUAAUUUUCCGAAAAUCGGACCGAUGUUUGAAUGUGUAACGGUGGUGGCUGCGGCUCAAGAAGUACUUGCAUGGUUCAGGAUGUGGGGUUUUGCUGCACCACCACGUUAUGUUUGUUGCCGAGGGUCUCCUUGAUAGAGCACGAUAGAAAAUUGAAGAGAAGGAUAUGAAGAUAAUCAGCAGGCUGAUGUUCUCUUUGGCCAUUUUUGUGUAUUUCUUUUGCUUCUGUGAAUUUGGGUUCAGGAUUUUUAAGGGUCAUAUUACUAAGAGAUUUGUUUAUGAAGGAGAAUAUUGACGAGAUUGUUUGGAAAAUGGACAACGACUUGGUAUAUAAAUGCUAACUCAUGGGCAAAAAUUUCCAUGAUGCUAAGAUAUUCCAUGUUAGCUUUGCUUCCAAUUGUGUGAUGAUAUGUUUCCUUCUUUACGUAAAAAUAUUCCAUGAGACAUGAGAUCUUUCAAAGGAAACGAGGGAAAAGAACUACAAAAUAUCAUGAUUUUGAAGAAAAGUCUCACAAUACUAUGCAUAAUUAAUUCAUCAGAGUAUUAAUCAAAUUAUAACUUUUGUCAAUGGAUUGAUUGGUAACUCAGCAAGUUUAUAAAUUUUCUUUCAGGAAUUUAAAUAUGUCACGCCAUUUUCAAUCGAGACUUUAAUCGUCUAAUGAAUGUAUAAUAUAUCAUCGCGAGCCUUUUUCUCCACGUUGAAUAAUAUUCUAGGUUUUGUUAAUGCAUUAAUUUGAUUAAUCAUUGUUUUAAAAAUCCACUGAAAUCUGCCUGUGCCUGACAUUACGAUAUCAAACAGCUCGAUAUUCUUUUUGGAAGGUAAUUUAGUCUUUUUGUAAUAGAUAAAUUUAAUAGUUGAAAAAUGAUUCUGGCAGAUUUUAUUCAUAAAGGAAAAUUGGGUAAAUUCGCCAAACAAGAAGGGGAUUUUUGGCCCUUUUCCUAAUUAUGUACUCGAAUAGAAUUUGACAAGUUGCUUAAGGCUUUAUAUAUGACUUGGACUUUGGUAAAAUUGCUAGCGUUGCUUGCGGUUGUCAUUAUCAAGCUAAGCAAAUGGUUGAGUAGACUUUAUAAUACAGACCAAUCAUAUAUCAUGUUCUACACACAUGAAACCGUGUACGAAAGAAUUUUUUUUUGUAUUUGUUGAGUAUAUUGGUGCUCACUUGAGCAGAAAGUAAGUAUCCCUUGAAAGGAAGAAGCCAUGUUCUUUUAACAUACUAUCUCCAAACAACACCUAAAGUCACAGGAAUCCAUGUGCAUUUUAGUUUGUAAUACACGCUUGCCAUUUCUCUUAUUGUUCAAUAAUGAAAUUUCACCCCAGACUAAAUAUAUAAAUAAAUAAAUAAAGCGAGAAAGCAGCUGAAUGGUGAUCUCUCAAUCUAAGUGUGAAUACUUUGGUUCUUUUCAGAUUACAGCUUCAGGUAAGCAAUUUUCAACUGCAAAACUUGGGAGAAAAGAUUUCUUAAUCUUUGCCAGUUGACUUGUCUCAAAAUGUUUUUACCCUUUAGGUUUCUCUUUCAAAUUACUUAUUACAUUACUAAUGUUUGAAUUUUACUGCUUAAGGAUAAAUGUAACAUCUUAACAUACCAAACCUUUUGUUUUCCAACAAUCGGACUUGUAGAGCGCUGUAAAUUAAAUAACUCUACAACGAUAAACUUCAAGCGUUUUAAAAGUUAUGUAGUGAACCAACAAAGUGUUGGCUCCACUGGCAAUGGAGUCCCCUUAAGUGGCUUGAUUGGGUUUGCUCCCCAGUUCGAGUCGCAGGGAAGUCGCCUUUGUUGGGAGAACCUGUGCCUCUCGGUUCGAGCGGGGACUUCUAGUCUGGGUUGUGGUACGGGCUUAAAGGUACCUCCCACAAUUGGGGCCCUUCCCAGGAUACCUCGUGGUCAAAACCAAAAAAAAAAAGUUAUGUAGUGAUAUUUUUUCGGUAUAGAUACGUUGCCCACAGAAAUUUAACUAGCUGGUUUUUAGGUAAAUUUCUUUACUGCUAUCUGUAUUUAAAUUUUAGAAGGACUAAAAUGUCAAUUUGGAUUUUACCUACUAAAAUUCUAGUUAGGCAAUCCAAGAGGGGGGUGAAUUGAGUUUUAAAAAAAAUUCUUCAACAACUGUAUCGCCCAAAUUUCUAUUAUUUUAUUUUGUUUUAAUAGAAUUUAUAAAUGACAUUAUUGCCCUUAUAAAUAGGGUUAUUAAUGGGGUAAUUUUUUGAAAAAAACUUAUUUUUUUUCUAAAAUUAAUAGGGUUUCUCGAGACUCCCUAUAAAUUCCUACUUUUCCCUCUUCCCUAACCCUAAGUACACAAUGUUUUUUUUUCUUUUUCUUGGCUACUCAUUACACUCUUAAUCAUACCUUAGGAUUCAUAUAUAUCUUUGUUUAGGAGAGAAUCAUAACGGUUGGGUUUGGAGGUGUUUGAGGCUCUUAGAGGCUUAGAGGUGUGUUAGUUCAAAUUCUUUUGUCGAGAUAAGUAACUUCAUUCCUAAUGUACUGGAUAUGUAUAAUUAUUAUAAGUGUUUUAAUACUACUUAAAAGAUUAAUUGAUUUUCAUAACAAAUUAAAUUAGUUUAUGUAAAUGUUUUCAAAUUUGAAAAAUUAUUUUACUUUUAUUCUUUUUAACAAAAUAUUUUAUAAAUGCUUUUAAAUAUAUAAAUUAUUUUGUUACAUGACUACCUUUUAUGGUUUUGUCUAUAAAAUAUUUUGCAAGUCUAAAUUAUUGUUGUGGACAUUUAUUAAUCAAAUAUGAUUGUUUUGUGCCUAUGUACGAUUUAAAUUAUUUAUGAUUGUACAUGGGCCACCUCUUGAAGGUCAGAGCGCCGCAAAGUGCCACAUAUAGUGUAAAGUGCCACGUAUAAGUCAUUACAUAUGAAAAAUUGAUUUGAAUGUUUGGCUCAUUCUCCAUAAUUAUUCUGAUUCUGACUCUGAUCGUAUUAUACGAUAUAUAUGCUCUGGACUAGUACUAAGUUUUUGUUCUAAGUGUGCACAUGAUAUUCUGAUUUUGAUUUUGAUUAUCAUGAUAUUCUGAUUUUGAUUUUGAUUAUGUUUCUGGCCGGGUCACCGAGAUUACAUGUGACACUAUGUGACAUUAGCUAACUUUUUGUUUUAUGUGUAUGUGUUAUAUGAUUUGCUUUCAUAUGUUAUUAUGCGCUUUUGAUAAUCUGAAUUACUAUGAAUUUCUGUCAUCUUAUCGUGAUAUGUUGUUUUAUGAAAUUUAUGAAUUAUAAUAUAUGUUUUAAUAAAAAAAAAAGUGCUUGCAAUAUUUUGGUAUCGAUAUGGCUAGUGUGUUGCGAAUGAUUUUACUUAUCGAGUUGACGGCUUACCCUUCGUCAUUACUUUUUACAAAUUAAGUUCCAUAUUGAGAGGUGUACUUAUCAUUGGAGUUAAAUAUUUCGUUUCCUUUUGCUAAUUGAAUAAGAGAAUGAUAGACUCAUGUUUCUUUUUAGUUUAUUUAUUAUAUGAACUUGUAAUUUGGGAGUUUUGAGACUUUUGUAUAUUUAUAUCUUCGAGAGAGAUUAUUUAGUAUUAGACAUAUGAUUUGUGGAUUUUCAUUUUAAAAAAUAUUUGAGGUAUUUCAAUUUGAAAUUUAUGUGUAAGGAUUAUGAUUGGUAAGUAACCUUCUUCAUCACGUGCAUUGCACGUGUUAGAUUUGGGGUGUUACGUAACAUUUUAAGCGAAUCCCACAUCAGUAAAGCACAAGAGAGAUGUUGUAUUUAUAAGGGGUGAUCCACACUUUAAUUAGCAAGACGUGUUUUGGAGUUUAUAGGCGCCUCAAAAAAAAAAUCGUUCAGGCUUUGUUAAGGCUCAAAGCAGACAAUAUCUUACCAGGUCUGGAUUGGGUCAUGAUAUAUGGUAUCAUAGCAGCUCUGCAUGUCCUCUUGAGCGAUGGUGGGGCAAACCUUAGCAAGGAAGUUGAGUCCCUAAGGGGGGUGUAUGUAACACCUUAGGCGAAUCUCAUAUUGGCAAAACAUGAGAGAGAUACUGGGUUUAUAAGGGGUGAUCCACACCUCAAUUGGCAAGACGCGUUUUGGGGUGUUUGGGCGCCUCAGAAACAAAACUGUGCAAACAUUGUUAAGGCCCAAAGCGGACAAUAUCUUACCAAGUUUGGGUUGGGUCAUGACAACAUCAAUGUCAUAAUUCAAUAUCAACAAUUACCACAACCAAUAAUAGUAAUAAUUUCAACAAGAAGUAAAUUUAAAGGGUUAAGGAUAGCGAAAAUGAACACGACAAUUUUAUGUGGUUCGGCAACCCGCCUAUGUUCAUGCCUCCAAGCAAACCAAACAUAAAGAUUUCACUAACUAAGCCUUACAAACCAAUCAAGAAGUUUAUAAUUGAUUUCUAAGGUGUUAAUAAACUUUUACAAUUCGAGAUUAUUGCACACCUCUUUUCUCAAGUGUUUCUCACACUUAUAAUCACUCGAUUUUUAAUGUUGAAAUGAAAAUUACAAAAAUCUCACUCCUCACAAGAGUAUAUAAGCAAAUAAUAGCUCAAUAAUAAAUCAAUGUUUAUGAAUAAGCAAAUAAAAGCUCAAGAUGAUUUGUAUGAACAAGUUUAAGCUUGAUAAAGAUUUAAAAAACUCGCUUGAAAAAGUUUGAUUUGGCUUUGUUUAGUUUUAAUAAAACGAUAGUUGUUAUUCACUUUCUGGGAGUUAUCGAAUCGCCACUAAUUUUGAAACAGAUCACCGUUUGGCUUAUGUGAUAAGUUACCAUUAUGAAAAGAUUUGAAAAUUCGUCGCCUAAGAGUUAUCAGUUUACUAUUUAAUUCCAGAGACUCCUUUGCUUGAAAUUGGCUUGCUGCUUGUGAGUAAACGGUUUCCCAUUUGGUUCUAGAAAGCUCCUAGAAUAUUAUCAGAUAGCUGCUAAUUCUCUAAAAUUAUAGUUUGGCCCUAAAGCUUUAUAGAAUUAUAUUACCGUCCAAAAUGUUAUAGAACUUUUUAAAUAGGUCUAUUUCAUAGUUUCAAAUAAUACUUGUUUAGUUCAAAGUUCUCAAAAAAAAUUUCAAUUUUGUCCAUAAACUUGAAAAUAAUCAAUUUCAUAAAAUCAUUUUUCUUUUAAGUAUAGAACCUUUAUAUUAUGAAAAUAAUAAUUUAUUUAAAAUGUCAAAAAAAUAAUUUGAGUUUUUAAAUGCGUAAUCAUAAAUACAUUUAAUCAUACUAGCUUUACAAAAAAUGUAACAAGAGAAAUCAUUUAAGCUAGUAUCUUUGAUGCUUGUUCUUGACCUGGUUUGCUUUUUAUCUUUAUCCAUUGAGUGUCUUGAACUUGAUCUCACAUGUACAAUUUUUGUCCUUAAAAAACUAGUGAGAUUUGAAACAUAUACGUAUACAUAUAUAUAGUACAUCUCCCCCCCCCCCCCAUAUACUCUUGACACAUUGUUUGUUAUCAUGAAAAUCAAAGUCCAUAUAAAAUGUUUAGGCCUAGCACAUACCCCUAUAAAAAAUUGAGGAUUUUUAUCAAUUUUUUUUGCUUAUAACAUCUACUCCAUUCAUUACGCUCAAAAGUUUUGGCAGAAAUUAGUUGCACAAUAAUUAAUAUCGAUUAUGAUGCCAACUUAAUUUGUUUUUCGAAUUUUUAAUUAUAUGCUAGGUUGGGCAAUUAUGUAAUAAAAGAAAAAGAAAGGGCAUCACAUGGAAAAAAAUACUGAUAAUCAUAGUUAUAUUUAAUUAGAUCAAUUAUAAUUGUCUAAGAACAAAAUUAAAUCAAUCAUAAAUGUUUAAUUACUUAACUGGACCUACUAAAACUUCAAAACUUAUCAUGACCAAGUUACUAAUUGGCAGCUGCUGGAAAUUUUAGUUAAUUGAUUAUAUUUUUAAAAUUUAAAGGACAAUCUAAUUGACUUAACGUUUGCAGUAAAAACAAGAGGUUACGGGUUUAAGUCCAACGAGAUAGAUUUAAGUUGAGAGCGGGAAAGGGCGAGGUGCAAUAGAAAAGCAAUUAAUAACAUGAAGAAUUUGUUUAAACCAAUAUAAACAUGGACUAUCGGAACUAUAUUAACAAUUUACAAUAAUAAUCACUACACAUGGGGAAAAACCACUUUCCUUUAUUUUAAAGAAAUACCCCGAUGCCCUUGUGAUGAUUGAAUAUUGAAUUAAUUGGACAUUCUUAGGCCAUAUUGAAUGGGUUCUAAAAUUUCAGCCCGAGUGCCCGACCCAAAUUAUUUUUAUUUUUAUUUUUAUUUAAUUUUUUUGAAAAUGACCCAACUCAUUUUCUUUUAAAUUUCAAAAGUUUUGAAGCACUUGGUGUUACCAUGACGUUAAGGUCGGGAGAUUAAUAAUUCAUACAAGUCUAAGCAAUUUCAAUUUUCAAAUGAAUUGUUUAGCUAAAAUACUAAUUUAAAAAAAAUUAGCUUUAUUACAAUUUGACAUAUAUUUAAUAAAUUAUCUUAUUAAAACCUAUUUAUUUGUAAUAAUAUGAGGAUAAAAACAUUUAUUAACUUCAUAUUAGCUUUUAGAGUAACAGGUUUAGAAACCCAUAAUUGUUUUCUUCAGUUACAAUUUUAUAAUAAUAAAUUUAUUGCUAUUAUCAUAUUGGCGGUUACAAGUUUUUUUAAUGCACCAUCAAUAUUUUUAAUCAUUUAGGUUAAGUAUAUUUUUGAGUUACAAAUAAUAAAAUAGAAUAGAAGAAAACUGCCAAUAUCCACAGCCGCUCGUGUAGAGAUGGACUCUGCGGCUUUAGGACAAUGCCAUUUAAUUUGCACGCCUCUUCCAGUCUUCCUGCUUAAUUAAGGUUUGGUUUUGUUUUCCGUAAUCCAUAUUUGACUUUAUAUCCAUGUUUUUUUUUUUUUAAUAUUUCAUACUUUCUUGCUACAUGUUUUAUAUUUGUUAGAAUGGCUCUUUUGCCAUAUUUUUUAAGGGUUGGGUGUUCCUUCUUUCCAAUGUUAUGCUUGUUUUUUGAUUCAAAAUUUUCAACAAUGGAGUGAACAUGAAUAAUAACAAUAAUACAAUAAUAUAUGGACUAUCGCACUUGUGAUAUUAGCAUAUGAUAUGUGAGAUUGGACUAAAAUUUUAAUAUAUCAAAUGCCAUUAGCCAAUUUUAAUUACCACUCACAAAUUGCAAACAAACCCUAAGUUAGGUGAAAAAGUAAAUUUUGCUUAAAAUUUGGAAAGGUACUGUUGCUUGAGCACGAGUGCAAAGGGAUAUCCCCGAAAGCUUUAACAACAAAGUUAAUUCAGUUGCAUUCCGCAAUCGCUAUCUUCACUAUCUUCAAUCGAUCCUCGGAGUCAGCUGACCCACGUAAAGGUAACCAACUUUUUUCAGUUGCCACUUUCCCCCACUUUUAUUUUGGGCUCUCAUAUCAUAUCUCGUUAGAUUUUAUUUUUUUUUCUUUCGUCUCUUUACACAACAACUUAAUUAUCACUAUUAAAACGUUUAAAGUGGAAAAGUUGUGAGGUUACGUACGUACCCAUCAAUGCCUGAACAAGCAUUCCUUAUUUCCUUCCACUUCAGAAACAAGGAUUUUAAUGCUUUUUUCUUUUUUCUUUUUUUAAGUUAAUAAGAUAACUUACACGAGUAUUGCUCUUCAUCCAAAUACAGUGAAACUACCAUUCACCGGCGGCUCCCCGAGUGCAAGCCACCAUUUGUGUAAAUGCAACUCCCUCUCAAUUGUGAAACAAAAAGGGUUCUUCUAGUAUUUGAUUUCUUUACUCAUACGUGCACGUUCAUUUUGCGUACAUAUAUAUAGAUCCUCGAUUCAAUGGUAGUUUCAACAGGAGAAAGAAAAAGAGACGUGUGAAUUAUACUUUGAUGGAGAGAUGAAGACGGCGAGUUUGUUAGUGGUAGUGGGGAUGAUGGCAAUGGCGGCGGCAGUGGCGUCACAUGAUUAUGGAGAUGCAUUAGCGAAGAGCAUUUUGUUCUUUGAAGGCCAAAGGUCGGGGAAAUUGCCUCCUAACCAGAGGAUGACUUGGAGGAAAGAUUCUGCUCUUGAAGAUGGCUUUCAGAUUGGGGUAAGUCUCCCUAUCUCCUGUCUGUUUUGUUACUGCUUUUAAUUCCUAUCUAUACUUGGUGGCCCCAUUAGUAUCCCAUAUAAUUUUUAAUAUUAUAUACUACUGUAUUUUUACAUCAGAAAUCUGUAGGAAAAUGAGUAUGUUACCAAUUGUAAGAGAAAAAGUUAGGUGGCAGGUUUUAAUUGGAUUUUCUAAUAUUGUGCCCCGUGCUUCAAAUGUUACAUAUGAUGGUAGUUAGAGGUAGAGUACCAUUGGCAUUAAAGUUGAAUACUAAUUCUUAUUAUAAUAUACAAUUAGCUAGACAGAAAAAGGCUCCGAGUCCAAGAUGAUGCAAGACACUAAAUUAGUUUAAUAAUUGUCCUCAGGUUGAUUUGACCGGUGGAUAUUAUGAUGCCGGUGACAAUGUUAAAUUUAACUUUCCGAUGGCAUUUUCAACAACUAUGCUGGCGUGGAGCGUGUUAGAAUUUGGAAAAUCCAUGGAGUCAGACCUGCAACAUGCACUAGAUGCCAUUCGAUGGGCAACUGAUUACUUUUUAAAAGCCACUAGUAUUCCUGGCAUUGUUUAUGCUCAAGUUGGCGAGCCUUAUGGUGACCAUGAUUGCUGGGAGAGACCUGAAGACAUGGACACGGCCAGAACCCCUUACGCUGUCAGCAACCAGUUUCCAGGAUCUGAAGUCUCAGCUGAGAUAGCUGCUGCUCUUGCCGCUUCUUCCAUUGUGUUUAGAUCAACUGAUUCUACAUAUGCUGUUAAGCUUCUCAACAGAGCCAAAACGGUAGGUUUAAUUAAUUUAUCAGUCCUCUCUUAACAAAAACUAUUUUGUAUAUCAGAGGUAACACAACCAAUUAGACUUAGUAUUCUCAAAAAAUAUUUUUCGUAUGGAUAGGUUUUUGUCUUUGCAGAUAGGUACCGGGGAUCCUACAAUGAUUAUCUGGGAAAAUGGGUGUGUCCCUUUUACUGUGAUUUUAGUGGCUAUGAGGUAAGUCUGUGUAAUGCUUAAUUAGAAAAAACUUCUCUUCAUCCACGAUAACAAAUAAAGAUUCACAUAUUUGUAUCAUAGGAUGAAUUGGUAUGGGGAGCGGCAUGGCUAUACAGGGCAACUAAGGCACCUAAUUACUGGAAUUAUGUUGUGGAGAACAUAUACAACCUAGGAUCCGGAAGAAAAAUUACAAAUGGUGUCUCAUCUAGUGGUGGUAGUGUCACGGAAUUCGGAUGGGACAACAAGAAUGCUGGCAUUAAUGUACUUGUCUCCAGGGUAAGUAUUUUCACUUCUAAACUCAUCAAAACAGGACACUUUGUGCUCAGUCUCAAUAUUUGUUUCUUGUUAUGUUGGCAGUUUAUUAAUACAAUAAACUCAAAUUCCUCCAAUCCCUUCAUUCCGAAAGCAGACACAUUUGUGUGCUCUCUGUUGCCUGAAUCACCUACAAAAUCAGUCUCAUACUCGCCCGGUAAUUUUCCAAAUUUUGCUAGCAUCGAUCCAUUGUUCUUACAGAAUAUGAGUUUCCUCAGUUGAUUUUUCUUGUCUUGUUUUCGGAAAUUCACAUUAGGUGGCCUUCUGUUCAAACCGGGAGGAAGUAAUUUACAGCAUGCAACAACUUUAUCCUUUCUCCUCGUUGUUUACAGUCGCUAUUUAAAACAAGCUAACAGAGAUAUACACUGUGGCAAUGUUGUUGUCAAUCGGGCUAGGCUCGUACAAGUUGCCAAAGGCCAGGUAUACAUUCUUACUUGAACAACAAGUAAUGUAAUGGUUUGCUCAGAGGCUUAAAUUUGCAUUUGGAAAUUGAUAUGCAGGUGGAUUAUAUACUUGGAAGCAACCCAUUGAACAUGUCAUACAUGGUUGGAUAUGGCAAAAACUUUCCUCAAAGAAUACAUCACCGCAGCUCGUCUUUGCCUUCCGUUGCCCAACAUCCAGGGAAGAUAGGCUGUCAAGACGGAACCGCGUAUUAUGACAGCAAGAAUUCAAAUCCCAACGAGCUAACAGGGGCUGUUGUUGGAGGACCUGACGCCAAUGACUCGUAUGCUGAUUCUCGAUCUGAUUUUGUACAUUCUGAGCCUACCACUUACAUCAAUGCUCCUCUUGUUGGCCUUUUGGCUUACUUCAAAUCAAAUUCAAGGUCUUUUUAGUCUUAGAGACUAAUUGUAUAUGAUUGAUUUUAGUACCACAAAAAUUGUAAAGUUACAAUUAGAGUGUAGAAGCAAAAGAAAUUCAUUAGUGACAAUCAAAUUUGAUGAUCUCAGCGAUUGUUCAGCUAGAAAUAAGAAAUCUUUACAUUCUUUUCAGUUGACCUCACAUUGUGUGGCCGAAUCUUUCAUCUUUGCAAUUAACUCCACUUUCACCAUCCAUGGGUCUACAAAGAUAUUCAGCGGGUUCAGAAACUACUCUAGUUGUAUUUGUUGUGCUAUCUCUUAGCCCACUAAGCCCAGUCCAGAAUAGCGUAUUCCUCGGCAUGUUAGGGUUUUGCAUUUUCUUUCUGUUUUUAUUUAUUUAUUUAUUUAUUUAUUUUUGGUUUAGUAUUGUUUUUUAAGCUUUACGUAGAAAAAAAGGAAAAAAUUGAAAUAUGGUGAAUAAAUGAAGAAUUAACAAUAAGAGAGUAUAAUAUCCAAAUAAAAGUGAAACUACAUUCAACAACAGCCCCGGCAUUGCUUAUUUGGCUUUUGAGUUGAUGCAUAUCUCUCUAUAUAAAAAGAAAAGUUGGGGCUUUUUGGUACCGUAUAUGUAUCGUAUUUACAUCUUUUGAAGAUUGACCAUCAUGGGGGUGUGUGUGUUUGUGUGGGGAGGGGGGGGGGGGGGGGGGGGGGGAGGAGAGAGAGAGUAAUUGUCAGAAAUUUUUGGCGAGUACAUGUAUUUUUAGCUAAAUUAUGAAUUCAAAAUCUGUAACAUGUACCUAAGUGUAAAGGAAUGUAAAAAUUUCAUAUUGCCUAGUUAGAAAUGAGGUAUAUAUAAUAAGUCAUUUACUACAUAGUAUGAUAUCUUUUGAGUGGAUCUAAAAUAAAAAUAAUGGGGGCUCAAAUCCAACGUCUGACAAAUCAUAUUGUGUGAGAGAUAGAUUAGUGGUUCAAAAAUAAUUGUCUAUUUUUAUUUUGAUAAGUUACCUCAUUCUAUCAGGAUUAGAUAAAUAAAAUAAUACUAAGAUGAAUAUAGAGAGAUAUGUGACAACAUUUUAUGAAAUGAGAGAAAUGGACGAGAUAUUAAACUAAAUAUUUCACCUAAAAUUUUCUCAGCCAUCAUAAUAAAGUGAAAUUUUUUAAUGUGUUUAAUAAUAAUAUUAGGUAAAAUGUAAAAACAAGUAACAAAUUCAAAGCAUGUGACUUGUUGAUUCCACCUAAAUGAUAAUUUCUCAAAAAAGUGAAAUAAAGUGAAAAGAGGUUCUAUUUGGGAUUGUGGUUGGAUAAUUGUAAUUUAAAAGUUACAUGAUUAAAGUGUUUGAUAAACAUUAGCUGCUAUAACUGAAAAAUUGAGUUGAUUUAAUUUUAUACUUGUAUGAUAAAAAAUUUAUUAUAUCUUUACUAAUUUUGUCAAAAUUAUUGUUUAAAAAUUAUAUUUACUAUAUACUAUUAAUUUUUAUUUUAUAAUUACAACUUUUUUUUUCCACAAUAGCUAUACUUUUUAAGAUACAACACCUCAAUAUCAAACAAGCCUAGAGUCAUAUAACUCCUGCAAAACAAGCUAAUAUUGGUUAAAUGUGGUGUCAAGAAGGCAUACUUUGCUUGUUAGAUAAAACGUGGGCAAUAAAUUAAAGCAUGUGACUUGUAGAAGGUUACGUAUAAUUUUUGUCUCUUUAGUUUCCUAAGAACGUGAAGAGUUGGGCAAAUUAGAGACCGAGUGAUGGUGACAUUGAAGUUAAAUUUACGUACGUAUAUGACACUAUACAGCUAUUAUAUUGCAUCGCGCUAGAAGCUUUUCGAGCUCACGCCUAAUGCCUUAUAUAUCUUUUUUUAUUUGAAAAAAGAAGAAGUUUAUACGCCUUUUAAAUUAAAAAAAAUGAAUUGAUUAAUCAUCUAAGCUACUUUGUUUCUAUGGUAGAAUAUUUGCCUUUUCCCCUUCCACUUGGUGGACAUAAAAAUCCAAUAAUGUUUUGCUGGAAAAGCAAAGAAUAAAAAAUGAUUGUUGAUCGCUCUAAUUGUUAAAAUCCUGAAUUCUCCUUCUUUUUAUUCUAUAUUGAGUAUUAAUAUACUUAUAAGAGCUAAUGAUAAAUGAAUAAAAUCAUAAUAAAACAACAAUAAAUUUUUUGUCUUUUAAUUAAUUUUGAAGAUUUUUAGGAAAAUAAAAAUAUAAAAUCACUAAAGAAAAAAAUUCAUGAAAAGAUGAUUUUUUAAAUUUUUUAUAAUUUCUUUAUAAUUUUCCUACUGAUAAAAUUAAAAUAUAAAAUUUUACCCAAAUUAAUUAAUAGGUGGAUGAAAUCAUCUUAGGAACUUGGAUCUUAACUACUAGUCCAGACGACUCUUAAACCCCAAGAAUUCCUUUUUUUUUUUUUGAAUAUCAAAGAGUGGGACUUGGCACUCCUUCAAAAUUCUCAUAAUUAAAACUUCCUUUUUAAUAAUAUUCUAUUUAAUGACAAAAAUACCCUUAUUUCUAAAUAAACAUUCUUUUUCAUUUGUAAAUAUUUAAAAUUUUCUCUCUUUAAAAUCUAAAAAAUAUAAAUAAUCAAUAUGAAUAAAGAAACAAAAAAGAAAGAUUUUUUUUUAAUUAGUUGCGAAACCAAAAUGAAUUUAGUAAAAAUGAUAACCAUCUAAUAUUCAGAACUUGUAAAUGAAAAUAAGUAACGCUUAAUAGGUUGUGGCCACAGUAUUUUGUUUCCUUGAAGCUCCUAUGAUGCAUUUCAUGCACAAUGUGUGCGUCUUAUUCCUUCUCUUACCAAAAGCUUCAUGUUCCUUUUCCAUUUCUUCUGCUAUUUCAAAAGUGAAAAAAAAAAAAUUGAGAUCUGAGCUACUUAGGAAAGAACAAAUUGGAUUUAAAAUUGAAAAAAAUGAAAAAUCAUACUUGUGAGAGGGAGAGAAAAAAAAAUAAAUUGGGUUAAUUCUUUUUGCAUGUCUUUAAAUGUAAUUGCAAUACCAAAGGGUUUUAUGAUAUUAAUAAAGGGGUGCCAACAAUUCAACACUAUAUGCAAUUCAAUCAAAAUCAAAUAUAAUUGAAGUCUACUUAAACGUACACUCAACCCAACAUAAAGUUCAAUACAAUUGGAGUCUAUUGAAGCUCAAUAUAACAAUAAAUCCCUACAACCAUUGAGGAGAUUUAAAUGCUCUACCUUAGAGUUGAAGAAAGGAGGUGUCGACCAACCAAACUAAAUAAUUAUUGGCUUAAACACAAGAUUUUUUUUUUUUUUUUAAAAAAGCUUAUAAGAUAAACAACCCUAUAGGAGAAGUAAAAAAGAAGAUUUUAUUAUUCAAAAUUAUGAAAAUGAAUGAGAUUACCACAGUAAACUAAUUGAAAUACUACUCAAAAUAAAGCAAAUAACCUUUUAUUCCAAUUGGAUUAAAAUACUAAAAUGCAUUAUAGCUCAAACAUUAAAAAUAAAUUAAGAUAAAUACUAUUAAAAUUAAAAAAAAAACUGAAACAAAACAAAAUAAUUAUUCUAGACUUCUAAUACUUGUCUUUCUUUAAGAAAAGAGAACCUUAUUUGCCAAAUUAACAUGAUAAAUUCUACUCUUAUAAUAUAUGUAGGAGAAUCUAAUCCUCAAUCUCAAGAAAAAGGUGAUAUGUAUCAACCACUAUCGCAAAAAAGAAAAAUCUUUUAGUCUUCGAAUUCUUAACAUGUACCUUCAUUUUGGAACGAUGAAUACUAUAAAUAUCUUAGUUACAUUAAGUAGCUUCAACUGAGGAAAGCAAAAGGAGAAAAGAGCAUAGUUCUUUGGCAAAGAGAAAGGGGGAAAUAACAGAGAAUUAAGAUGCGUUCAAUACAGAGUUUUCUGUUCGUAAUACUAGGGUUGAUGGCAAUGUUGGGGACAGUGGCAUCACAUAAUUAUGCAGAUGCAUUGACUAAGAGCAUCUUGUUCUUCGAAGGCCAGAGGUCUGGAAAAUUGCCCCAAGACCAAAGGAUGACAUGGAGGAAGGAUUCUGCUCUAAAUGAUGGCGCUGACAUCGGUGUGAGUCUUCCUCUCUUCUUUCUAUUGAUUGUUGCUUCAUUUACUAGCUUGCAUUUUUGUUCCAUAUUUCAUUUUCCUUCUAAUUUUAUAACUUAUUUUAAUUCCUUGGUUACAAACGUUAGCUAAAUUACAUGAUUUCUUAGAGCUUUGAUGAUACUUUUUGAUGCUUUUAUAACUUAUUUUAACUUAUUAACAUAUGAUACUGUAUAUUGCUUGUUUAUCUAUGAUAUAUUUGAUAGAAAUAAUCAACACAUUGAUUGAAAAUAAUUCUUUGAAUUAAAUUGUAUAAGUUUGGUCGACUCAUGAAUUAACUUUUCAGUAUAAUGCUAGACACUAAGUGCUGUUGUGUGAUUUAACUUUAUGGAAUUGCUCCAAGAAGCUAGAUUGUGAUACUUUUAUUUUUUGUUUUGUAUUAUGUGCAUGUAUUUUUAACAAUUUUUUCGAGGUUUUUUAUUAUAAAUUUUAUUUUUGUACAUGUUUUAAAGGUAAGGUUCAUUACAUCCCUUAGUAAAUGAUAAUCAAUGAACAGAAAAGAAAAUACAAAUUAUAAUUUUUUAAAAAAAAAAAAAACUCUAAUUUGUUAUUUGUAAAGGUUUUUCUGAAAACUUCUAAAACUUACGCUCGAAUUAUUCCCUUAGUUUUAAAAUGAUAGUACCAAUUACCAAAUAUGCGAAGAUUAGUAAGAACAAUAAUCAGAGAGUAUCAUUAAAUUGAAGAGUCGUUGGUAAUCUUUAUCAUCUUCAAUCAUUCAAAAAAUGUGAACAAGGCCCCCCAAAUAACGCCCGUAUUUAAAUUAAUUUUUUCCCUCUCCCUUAGGUUGAUUUGACCGGAGGAUACUACGACGCCGGCGACAAUGUUAAAUUUACUUUUCCCAUGGCAUUCACAGCAACCGUGCUGGCUUGGAGCGUGCUAGAGUUUGGGGAUUCAAUGGGCCCAGACCAGCAUCAUGCGUUAAAUGCUAUUCGAUGGGCAACUGAUUUCUUAAUGAAAGCCACUAAUAAACCUGACACUGUUUAUUUUCAAGUUGGCCAUGGUCAAGAAGACCACAAUUGCUGGCAGAGACCUGAAGACAUGGACACACCCAGAACUGUUUUUGCUGCUACUAUAGAAAAACCAAGUUCUGAUGUUUCUGCUGAGAUAGCAGCUGCUCUUGCAGCCACUUCUAUUGUGUUUAAAUAUUCUGAUCAAGCAUAUUCUGCCACACUUCUCAGUAGGGCAAAAAAGGUAGGUAAAAUCAAUUUUAUACCCAAGUAUCUGGGAGGUGUACGUGUAUUGAAGUCAUUAAACGAGGGGUAUAUUGAAGUGUAUCAAAAUAUUUUAGGGGUUGCUGAAAAUCUUCUCAGCAUAAUAAUUUACAUAAUAUGGAAGAAUUAUAAUUUUAUAAGAAAUAUAAUUUUUAUAAGGUAAAAUGACACGUUCUCCCAUAAAUAUUAUUUUUAUCAUUUUAACACUGAGAAUGUAAUCGGAUAGGAAUUUUCUAAGUCAGUAUUUUAAAGUGUGGAAAAAUUCGAAAAAACUUUAAAACCAUGUAGUUUUAAAGUGUUAAUUUCAUAAUGUUUUAAAAUCGUGAGGUUUUAAAACUUUUCCGAAUUUUCUGCACUUUAAAAUCACGGAUCAGAUCCCGAAUCAGAAAAUUACUACGUAACCAGAUACUACAAAUUUAUCAGGGAUCUAAGUGCUCAAAAUUAAGAAAUUUUAUAAGAGAUAAAGUGUCCUUCUCCCUUCUUAUAAUUAAUUAGUACAUAUAUUGUCAUUAUAAUUUUUGCUUGAAAUAGGUGUUUGAAUUUGGCCAUAAGCAUCGGGGAAGAUACAGUGAAAAUUAUGCGAAACCCCCAGGGGCGGUGUGUCCUUUUUACUGUAGCGGUGGAAUCGCAGAGGUAAGCUCUGGAAAGUUUAGUGCAAUUGCUUUCAUUUUGCCUUUAACAUAAGUGCCAGAAAGAUUGUUGUAUUUAAGGUCACAAAAAUUUCAAGUGAUAUUGUCUCAUAUGUAUAGUGUACAUAGGAUGACUUGGCAUGGGGAGCGAUGUGGCUAUUCAAGGCAACCAAUUAUGAUCAUUAUUACUGGAAUUCUGCUGUAAACUCAAGUAAAAUUCUGAACCAUAAUCUGCAUGAAUUUGGAUGGGAAGGCAAGAAUGCUGGCAUUAAUGUACUUGUCUCCACUGUAAGUAUUUUAUAACUCUCAUAUUAUCACGACAGAACCCAUUUUACCCAAUCUAAGUUUUUGUUCUUGUGAACCACUUGGGCUUAGCCCAAGUGGCUAGAGCCACUCCCUCACAAUUGCGAGGGAAGUGGUUAGAGCUCCCGCAGACGCAUUGCGGGGGUUUAAUUUAAAUGUCCUUCCUUAGAGCCUCAGAGCUUGAGUGAAGGCAGUCUUUCUCUCAGAAUGAGAGUUAGGCAUCCCUCGAAUGUUUGAGAGGGUUAAAAAUUUGAGCGGUGCCAUAUCAGAAUAGAUGUAAACGAGUCUUAGUAAUUUGUAUGGUGUAAAUAUCAUGAGCAAUAGUUCUCUUAAAAAAAUAAAGUUUUUGUUCUUGUGUGUCGGCAGAUUGUUAAUAAGGAUGGUGGUACCAACAAAUCAGAUACCGAUCCUUUCAUUCAGAAUGCGGAUAAGUUUGUAUGCGCACUAAUGCCUGAAUCACCUACAAAGGUGGUCUACUACACACCAGGUAUUUUAACUUGUGAUCAUUUUAUUAAUUGAUCCAUUGGAACAGAAUAGUAGAAUUAUUUUAUGAUUUGAUUUUGGAUCAAAACAUUAUCAGGUGGGCUUCUCAAAUUACAGGGCGUAAAUUUUAAGCAUGCUUCUUUAACCUUUCUCCUGGUUGUUUACUCUCGAUUUUUAAAAGAAGCUAACAAAGAAAUACAUUGCGGUCAUGUUGUUGUUAAAAGGAACAGGCUGAUAGAGAUUGCCAAAGGCUAUGUAAGUCAUGAAUGUUUCUUGUGGGAACAAUUUUUUUUUUUUUAAUAGAGAAAAUGACGAAAAUCCCUUAUUGUUUGUCGAAACAUAUAAUUUCUCCCUUCAUAUUUUAAAACUCAUCAAACCUCCUGCUGUUAAAAAAAUUAUUAACUUUUUUUGUUGUGUCUUUUCCUGUUUUACUGCUACAAAUUUGUAUUGAUUAACGAAGGAUUUUUACCACGUUAAUGGUAAAAUAGUAAAAGACACAAAAAGGGGAAGUUUGCCAUUUUUUUUUUUCAACAGCAAUGAAAUGGGUUUUUUUAAAACAUGAGGGGUGAAAUGAUUAAUCAUUUUUCCUCUUUUAAAUUUUUGCCAGUGAAUUUGUUUAGUUGUUUAACAGCUUGUAUUUGGAAAUUGAUAUGAAGGUGGAUUACAUGCUGGGAAACAACCCAAUGAAUAUGUCAUACAUGGUUGGAUAUGGCAAGAAAUUUCCUCAUAAAAUACAUCAUCGCGGUGCAUCUCUUCCUUCCAUGGAUAAACAUCCAGCGAAGAUCCCUUGUGCAAACAAUCACUUUUUUCACCACUCGGAUCUCAACGAGUUAACUGGGGCAAUUGUUGGAGGACCUUUUGAUAAUGACUCUUAUGUUGAUGAUCGAAAUACAGUUGAACGAUCAGAGCCCACAACUUACAUGAAUGCUCCUUUUGUUGGCCUUUUGGCUUAUUUCAAUAGACCACCACCAGCUUACAUCUAGAGGAUAUACUACGAUGGAAAUGUUACUUAAUACAAUAAGAAUGUAAGAGUUACAAUAUCAUAUUUAAUGUCUGCGAUUCCUCUUUUGAUAGUAAGUCAUCUUUGCCGCCUUUCCAGUUCAUUUUAGAAAUUUUGGAUAGUUCUUAUCUCUAUGACUAUGAUGAGCAUGACGGCCUCGGACAUUGUUUGUAAAUUAGGAUUCUCUGCCAGUAUGAGCUUAAUGAUAGGAAUGAGAUGAAGAUCAUAGAAAUUGUUCAUUAGUGAGCCUAAAAGAUAAAAUAAUGAUGAGAUGAAGCGUAUCCCGAAUGGAUUCCAUUAUUAUGACACAAUUUUGCUCCUAGUAUAUGUUGAAGUGGUUUCCCAUCACUUUCUUUGACUAACCACCCAUGUCAGAGUUGAGGCUGCGGUAGACUGAUGAUUAAAAAAACUGAUUUAAAUUUUGUCCGCCUCUUACACAAAAUAAAUUAAAUAAUAAUCACAAUAGUAAAAUUAAAUUUAAACAGAAAUAUAAAGCAACUUGUGUUCCCAAAAUAAAUUCCUUUUAUUACUGAAGCUAUAAUUACUGGAUUCCCUUUUAUCAAGGCAAACAACUAUGAUACUUGUAUGGUUGCCUUUUAUAGGAAUGGUAAAUAAUUAAUCAAAUUAAUUCCUCUCCCCUUUUUAUAGUAUAAUUUGAGAUAUUAAGGUAAAGUAUUCAAGCUGGUUUCCUUCCUUUUGAAACAGUGCGUAUAAAAUCUUGCAUUGUCUAGACUUCACAUACUUGCUAAGAAGAUUUAAGUUUGUAGUAGAAAAAUUAAGUGGUGGACCGAGAGUAUAGAAAAAUGAAGAGUGGAAAAUGUAUGAGUAUCCAAAUAUUGUUAGGGUUACUGGUGGGGAUAUUGAUGGUGGCAAGGGUGGCUUCACAUGAUUACGGGGAUGCAUUGUCUAAGUGUAUUUUGUUCUUUGAAGGCCAGAGGUCGGGAAAAUUACCCUCUACUCAAAGGAUGACUUGGAGGAAGGACUCUGCUCUUUCUGAUGGCUCUGAUGUUGGUGUAAGUCUCAAACAUUGAUUCUUUUUUCUUUCUUUACAAGCAGUUCUAAAUAUUAAUAACAAUAAUCUUAGUGACACUUCAUUUAAUUAUGGUAUAAUGUUAGUGAAAGUUAUCUCAUGGUGGACUCUGAUAUGUUCUUGAGUUGAAUAGGAAAAAUCAUUUACUCAAUCAAUUACAUAACAAUUUUCAGGUGGAUCUAGUAGGAGGUUACUACGACGCUGGUGACAACAUAAAAUUCAGUUUUCCGAUGGCUUUCUCAACAACAAUGCUGGCAUGGAGCAUAUUAGAAUUUGGCCAUCUUAUGGGCUCAGAGCAUGAAAAUGCAUUAGAGUCUCUGAAAUGGAGCACAGACUAUUUCCUGAAAGCCACCAGCGUCCCUGGAAAAGUUGUUGCUGCAGUUGGUAACCCCAAAGGUGAUCACAACUGCUGGGAGAGGCCUGAAGACAUGGACAUUCCUCGGACCUCGUAUCUUGUCAAUACAACAAAGCCUGGUUCGGAAGUUUCUGCAGAGAUUGCGGCUGCGUUAGCAGCUUCUUCCAUGGUUUUCAAGUCUGUUGAUUCUCAAUACUCCAAUCUUCUUCUCCAAAGAGCAUUUCAGGUACUUGAGAUUCAACUUUUUUCAGCUAAAUAACAUUCUGAAUCUUUAAGGUAUUUGUUAUUUGUGUUUCUUGGAAUAGGUCUUUCAAUUUGCAGAUCAGUAUCAGGGCUCUUAUAAUUACAGUGUGGGGGAAGGGGCCUGCCCUUUUUACUGCGAUUAUGAUGGCUAUAUGGUAAGAACUUGAGAAUGCAGAUCGACCUAUAAACUUGUUUCUUUUCAAGAUUGUUGCUCGGCGUGAAAAUUCAAAAAUUAAAUUCACUGAUUCGUUCCAGGAUGAGUUGAUAUGGGGGGCAGCCUGGUUGUUCAAAGCCACCAACGAGCAAAAAUAUUGGAACUAUGUUGUUGAAAACAUUCACUACCUGGAAAACUCUGUCAAAACAGAGUCCAAAAAAGCUGUGUACGUUGGUGGUUGCUUUGCAGAUUUCGGAUGGGAUGGAAAGAAUGCUGGCAUCAACGUACUUGUUUCCAGGGUAAUCAUAAUUUUUUUUUCUUGAAUUAGUUGCAAUAUACAUGUAAUUACUAUUUUGGGUUUGCUAAGAGUUUAAGUUCAUACACUUUUAUAACAUAAUCCAGAGAUCUACCAAUCGUAACUCUGCACAAACUAGAGAUGAUCAACCUCUUCACUAAGGAGGUAAUAUAUCUGCUCCAAUUAAUAGUUGGGAAGAUAUAUCUACCCCACUUACUUACAGUUAUGGUUCGUAGAUUUGUUUUGAGUCCUGCAUGAGAUGACUCGAACUAGAAGACAUCAGCAUACCACUAUGAUAUGGCCUAAGCGGCAGAAUAGUAAUUAAUUACAUCAUUUUUUUUCCUUGUUACAAAAUAUCAUUACAAAAUUUAAUUUUAUUUUUCUUGUUUUCACAGUGGGUGAUGAACACCUCUAAGUCCGAUCCGUUUGUAAGCUAUGCCGACAAAUUUUUUUGUACUGUAUUGCCUGAAUCACCUACCAGAUGGGUUACAUACUCUCCAGGUAGCAAUUUCUUUCGUUAAAACUUGCCUAAGAAUUAAAGAAGUGCAAACAAGUUGAUUUGAGAAGCUAUUGCGUAGUUUAAGAAAUGGGUAUCUAUAUAUGUAUUAGGUGGUCUAAUGUUCAAAUAUGGAGCAAAAAGCAUCGUGAACUCGCAACAUGUUACAGCUACGUCCUUUCUUCUUCUGGUUUAUUCUCAGUAUUUGACAAUGUUCAAUAGAAACUUUCAGUGUGGCGACGUUGCUGUCAGUCCAUCUAGGCUCGUGCAACUGGCAAAAGUACAGGUAGAUUUUUUAAUCCUCUAUUGAUUUCAUAAUAUUUGUUAAUGGAUCAUCCUACUCUGAACUACAAUUUUUAAAAUAUAUGCUUUUAACUUUGUCUCAAAAAGGAUAGACAAAUCAGUUAGUUUGAUCUCUUGCGAUAAAAAUAAGAUGUUUAGGGUCUAAAAUCUCUCACCGACGGAAAAAAUCAAUUUAAAAUUUAUGAGACGAAGUGUAUUGUAAUUAGAAAUAAUAAUAUAAAAACUUGAGCGAGAGACUUGUACAUAUGAUAAUAAAAUUUAAAUUCCUAUCAUUUUGUGGCGAGCAAUUCCAAGAUUAUAGAGCUCAAGGGCAAAGCAGUCUUUUUGUGUGUUUUCAAAAGUCCGUUACUAAAGCUAUUGAAGGAGCUGAAGUGGCUAACCACUGGGGCCCCACUUGCAGUUGUUUUUAAUACUGAGGACUAAAAUUUUUAAGCUCCGUUCAAGGCCGAUGAACAGAGCUAUAUAAAGGGCCAAAAUCUUUGAGUACAUAGCAUCGAUUUGCUUGCAUCUUGUAUUGAUAUACUGUUUACAAUCUUUGCAACGCAAUGACAGAACAAUGGUUCCUUUUGCACCCACAGAUGUUGGUCACAUUGACCGGACCAUGACGGUUUCAUUUUUCUUUAUUUCUCUGAUCAUGAUCUCUUGUGGUUGAUUUCUUUUGAGCUAGUGUGAUUCUCGACACAAUGUCAAUUUUUGGGAGUUAAAGUUGAGUCAUCCUUAAAUUCUUAACAGCAAGAGGGUUCUCUAAUGAAUGGAUUAUGUUAAUUGUUAAAAUGGAUGCAGGUUGAUUAUUUACUAGGAAGCAAUUCAAUGGGAAUGUCAUUCAUGGUGGGAAAUGGCCAAAAGUUCCCUCAAAGAAUACAUCAUCGAGGCUCUACCUUACCUUCCAUUGAUAAGUAUCCAAAGCGCUUAAAAUGUCAUGAUGGCGAUGAAUUCUUCAAAACAAAAGAUCCAAAUCUGAACGUGCUGACGGGGGCAAUUGUUGGAGGACCUGAUAUCAGUGAUAAGUUCGAGGACAAUCGUAGUAAUUGGAAACAAUCAGAGCCAACCACCUACAUAAAUGCACCUUUUGUUGGAGUCCUAGCUUACUUCAAAGUGUAUCCCAAUAGUUAGAAUUAGGAUAUGCUUGCCCAAUUCUCUUUUGAAUGGAAUCUUGGAGAGUUGUGUUUUGACAUGUCAAUUAAUAUUUUUAAUUUUCUUAUAACUAAAUUAUUGAAAUGCAUCCCAAAAAGAAUAGCUGAUAUAUUGGUGGGUGCAAGUGGUCAAAGAUCAAAUAAUUCCCUUCACAGGAACAUUAAAUGAAUAAUUUCUUUAACAGAGGCAAACGAUCAUGCCUUUUAUGGUUCCUAACUUAGGCGUGACCCAUAAUUAAUAAAAUUUAAUAGCUUCUGUUUUUAUAGUAUAAUAUUUGUAAUUUUAGAUUUCAAGUAGAAUAUACAAUUUUCCUAGCGCCGUUUUGAAAUGGUAGUUAAUGUAUGAAAAUUUGCAUAGCAUAGACUUACAUAACUGAAGAUAAAGUUUCUAGUAGAACACUUAAGGUAGUAGGAGGACAGUACAGAAACGAUAAUCCAAAUAUUGUUAGGGUUGGUGGGGAUGAUGAUGGUGGUAAGAGUGACAGCUUUGCAUGAUUACGCCAUUAUGGGCAUGCAUUGGCCAAGUGUAUUUUGUUCUUUGAAGGCCCGAGGUCUGGGAAAUUGCCCUCUACUCAAAGGAUGAUUUGGAGGAAGAAUUCUGCUCUUCUGGACGGCUCCGAUGUUGAUGUAAGUCUAUCCAUCUUUCUAAUGUUCCAUCAGACUCAGCCUUUUUCUUAAGAUCCCAUUUACAUCUUAUAGCCUUUUGAGCUUUUUUCCUAAGAACCCCUUUACAUUUUGUAGCCUUUCUUCACUUAGUUCAGUUAAUUCCCAAACUUCAUUUUUAUUAAUUGAAUUUAUUUCUUCUUCCAUAGCUUCCAACCAUUCAGAUAAAUCCGAUGAAUUCACAGCUUCUUUAUAAUUUUUAGGCUUAUCUAAUGAUUCUAUUUUGUUAUGAACACAAUAAUCUUUAAGAUUGGAAGUAAGUUCUCUUACUCUUUUCCUCGCUCCCACUAGACAUAGGAUGUGUAAUACCCAAUUCUCCUAAGGGUAUUUAAGUCUUUUUAGUUUUUGGUAAUCCUUUUUACCCUAGUAUAAAUAGAAUAAGAUGUCUUUCCCCAUCAUAAGAGAGAGGGAAAGAGAAAUCGGUUGAGAAAAAAAAAAAAAAAAAAAAAAAAAAAGAGAACGAGAGAGAGAGAGAGAUGGAGACAGAAGAGAGAAAAGAAAAGAAAAAUAGAAGAAGAAAACUUUCUUCUUCUUCUUAGUUCUGCCGUAGGCAACACAUGAGAUCAAGUUGUUAUUGUUGGGAGAAGUUUUGGAUGUACGUUUUAAUUAUUGGUUUCUAUUAAAUUGUUACGGAGAAGCAUGAUUGCAAUAGAAGUAGAAAUCUAAGAAUUUGCAGAAAUAUGCUGACAGUGAAUUAUUUCGAAAAUCAUAGUAAUUUGUACAAAUUGAUUUUGAUUCUGAUUUUUGGUUAUGUUAAACUAGACAUCGUCUAGAAUGUUUUGAAACUUGUUUCAAGUUAAUUGGAUAAGAUUUCAAUUAAUUAUGAUUUUUUCAAAGUCAAGUCUGAAAACCUGAAAAUUUAUGAUUUCAGUGAAUAAAGUGAAUUACGGAAUUAUUUUUACCAUAUCUAGACUUCUUCAAAAAUUAUGAAAUUUGGACCAAUGAUUUUUAUAUAUGUCUAGUAUGAUUCUGGAAAUUUUCAUGAUUUUAUGAUAAAUUAAUAAAUUAUUUUGUAUUUUUAAAGCAAGUGUGUUAAAAAAGAAAACUGUUUGACAGUAUUGAUGAUGUCUGAAACGUCAAUUAUUUUCAAUAGUUUCUGAAGGAAUUAAGUUAUGAAAUUUUUAUCAAUGAACUUUCAAUAUGUCAGCAUAUGGUAUGUAAAAUUUGAUAUUCUUCCAAUAAGGGAAUAAUGUAUUAAAAAUCGGAGAAUAUGGACUGUUAUGUUUUGAGGGCCGAUUAUUGAGGACAUUAAGGUUGGGCUUAGGAGAUGUUUAAAUUGAGAUAUUUGAGGACAUUAGAGUUUAUGAUUGAGACUUGAUUAUAUCUUAUGAGAUAUUUAUUGAUGAUUUUAGGUUGAUGAUAUCAGUACGCAUUUGUUGCAUGAAGAUGCCAAGAGGUAAGUAAACUAGACUUAAAAACGAAUCACAAUAAACAAUAUAUAUGUUUGACUUGUAUGAAAAGCCUAUUUUGAUAUGUACGAAUAUAGAUUUAUAUGUCUUUGCUCAUGUGUUAAUGUGAUGUGUUGUUAUGCAUUGGGCGUGAUUAUGUACAUAAGCAUAUGUAUAUGUGAUGGUUCAUUGACAUGAGCACGAAAAUGCAUUGAGUUUUCUAUGAAUGAGAAAGUGGAUUUUAGCAAAUGGGAUUUCUGUUUUAUGAGAUUUUGUAUUGGGGGCCACCUCUUGAAGUUGUGGGGGGGCCACCCCUUGAGGGCCAAAGCGCCGUAAAGUGCCACGUAUAGCACAAAGUGCCACAAUUGCAGAAUAUGUAUUUCAUUGAAAGAAAAUGAGAAAGUUUGAAAGCGACAGAAAGAGAUUUUGAUGAAUUUGUUUUAAAGUAUUUGGAAAAGAUCAUGGCAUAGCAUCCAUCCGCAUUAUGUAUAAGUAUGUAUGUAUUUUCGUAUAAGAAAAACUAGUUUGCUUACUGAGUUUUGUACUCAUUAUAGUUUAUUGUGAUUCAGUUUUCAGAAGUCAGGAUUGAUUCGUGAUGAGUGAGAAGAUGGAUUUGAAUUGAGGAUGGUAGAUGGUUUGGCUGAAUUUUUAAGUUAUUCCGCUGGCUUUUGUAUUUGAGGCUCGAAUUUUGUCAUUUGUAAAGAGUUAUUUAAAUUCAUAUGGGAGUUGUGGACAUAUUUGCCCUUGGAAUUCGGGUUGGGGUGUUACAAGAUGUGUGGAGAAUUCAUUCUGCUUAAACGAUUGUAGAUUCUCUUGAUUUACGAAUACUAUCCCUUGAUCUACAUCCAAAGAUGAAUUAUUAUUCGAGAUAUUUGCAUAUUCGUCUAAUCAUAAUAUUUUUUUCUAAAGGAUGAUAAAAUCUAUAUCCUAAACUGCUAUCCGGUACCUAAUAAAUUUACAUUCAUAAGUUUGAUUUUCAAGCUUAUUUCUUUAAGGUUUAGGUUUAAAGAUAUAAACUUCGAAGACCCAAAUCCUUGGGUUAGAAAAAUCAGGUGUCCUACCUGUCCAUUAUUCAUAAGAAACUAAUUCUUUGGACUUUGUGGUGACUCUAUUUAAAAUAUAUGUUGCAAUUUAGAUUAGAACUCAAUAUAAUCUUGACCCCAAGAACAAUCCUACACACUGAUAUCUUGAUCAAGAAUGAUUAACUAGCUAAUUUGAGAACAAAAAAAUCUAAAAACAGAGGUUAAACAAUGAAAUAACAGAGAGAAGAUUUAUAGAGGUUCAGCCAUUAAGGCCUACAUCCUCUUGAGAAACAGGGCUAUGAUUCUUUCCAUUAAUGCAAUAACAAGGUACAAGCUUUCCGAAGAGAUUACAAAGAAUUGAAAAAUCACUGAAUUACAGCAAUUAGAGCCUUUCACACAAGUAUGGAAGCACCUAUAGAAUCUCAGCCCUGAAGCCAGCCUUGCGUCCUGGGUUUUGUUGCAACAAACCCAGAAAAUUCCUGUUUCUUUUAACUGAAUAUAAUAGAUUCUCCAUGUGCUGAACAUGUGCUAACAUUAAGUGGUUUAACGGACAUGAGAAGCUUGCCAUUUUGAAGCAAUAAGCUGUUAAGUGGUCACGUGCAAAACACGUUCGACAUGUCGUCUCACGUAAGUACUUGUAACCGACACUGUCGUUUUUCUUUGUAUAUUGAAUUCUUGUUCACUUUUAACAAUAUACAUUGAUAUACUAAGAGCCUCUCCCCAAAAAUUAAUAGUAAAUCAGAAUCAGACAUUAUAAAUUUUGUCUUUUACAUUAAUGUCCUAGUUCUUCUUUCAAUAAUGUUAUUCUGUUGAGGUGUAUAAGACAUUGUAUUUAGAUGUUUUAUGCCAUGUUCUUUAUAAAAAUUCGAAAAAGAUUUAAAAUAUAUGCCCCACCUUGAUAACUAUUUCAAGAUUUAAUCUUUUGCCCAAUUGAGUCUCCAUUUCCUUUUAUAUUCUUUGAAUUUUUCUACUGCCUUAAAUUUAUAUUGAAUAAAAUAGACAUACCUAUAUCAGGAGUAAUCAUUAAUGAAACUACGAAAGUAAAAAAAUAUUCCAUUCCUCUAUGUGUUUUUACUCUUAAAAAUCCACAAAUGUCUGUAUGAAUUACUUUUAAUGAUUCAGAUGAAUGCCAAUGUUUAGAAAUCAUUUUCUGGACAACUUUCCUAGUACACAAGGUUGACAUAUUUAAAAUUUAUAUCCUGCAUGUUAGGUAUUGUACAUUUUUUAUGCAUUCUUUUUAUUUUAUCUUUAUUAAUAUGUCCUACUCUAGGAGGCCAAGUAUAGAAUCGAUUUUACUAAGCUUGGUCUAAAGCAUCGAAAAACAAUUAAUUAUUUUAUUAUCAUCAUAAAUUGCAAUACAAUACAUGCCAUCUAAUUUAUCACCUCUUAUAUAAACUCGACGAUUUCUUCCAACAAUCAACUUUUCAAACUUGAAUCUAACCUCAAAUCCUGUUUUAUCCAACUCUGAUACAGACAUAAAAUUAUGCCUUUUUCAUCUUAAGGAUUUGGCCACUUAUUCUUAUUUUUCUUCUUUCCUUUUUCUUGGUUCUUGAACUGAUUAGAAGGCUUCGGGGAAUCCUCCAUCAUCAUCCAAUUUGAGUCUUUUCCGCGAUUCUUUCUUUCUUGUUUCAGCACUAAAAUUGAUGCUAAAGUGUCCAUAGUCAAAACUUGAUUUGAACAAUAAUGUAACAACCAAAUCCCAUGAUGGUGGUAAGCUAUUAAGAACCAUGGAAACUUGCAUUUUAUUAGUGAUUGUAUUACUUAAAAAUGAUAAUUCCUUAGCUAACAGUGUCAUAUUAUUGACAUGGUUAACCGCAUCAUUUCCCUCUUUCGUGUAUAUUCCAUUAAUUUUUUCAAGCAACAAUUGUACAUGAGUUUGAUAUUUAGCACUAUAUUUAGCUUGCAAGGCUUUCAUCAUUUCUUUUGCAAUCUUAUAAUCUUCAAAUAAAGGAAUAAGUUCAUCUUGCAUAUGGCUUAAAAUUGUAGCUUUUACAAUUGUAUUAUCUUCCUCCUAUUUAUAUUCAACAACUAGUGAAUUCAGCAUUUGAUCCACCAUCAUUUAUAUUAUAGGAGUAUUACUAGUACAACAUAAUAUCUUGAAUUAAAAUGUAGGAUACUCUUUUUUUUUUGAAACAUUAUGAUUAGACCCAUUUUAUUUUUCUAUUUUAUUGGUAUCACUAUACGUAUUAGUAAAGUUCAUCACAAUCUAGAAGUUUUUUUGGGGACAUCAAUGUUGAACAUGAUCAAAGGCCAGUCCUAAACGGCAAACCAGUCGCCGACAACCAUGAGUUUCCGGCAAUGAAGUUUUCAACUGUGAACUUUAAUGCUUUGGUUCCGCUGGUAAUAACCUGGUAGCCGCUCCACUUCAGUCUCCUUCUAGUUGAUACAGCCAGGCCAACGUUCUAAAACUCUAGGUAAAAUAGAGUGUUGAGAGCAAAAUUGUCACUCUAUUCGAGCUAACUAGCAGGAUCAACAAAAGAAUCAAGGUAAGUUUGCACGUAAACUAUACAUGAGUAUUCUUUUCAUGGUCGUCCUAAGAAUAUUUUGGAUUUGCUUAGCAUUGGCACAAGAUUUGGUGCUUUCAUGACUCGAGAAUUAUGGAUUAAAAUUCUUGUAUUUUGAUUAGCUGUUCUGCCUUGAGCUGUGACCACAUUCGUUUGCUGAUCCAUUGGCCUUCUUGCAUAAAUCAUAAAGUUCUGCAGAACAAAGGCGGCAUUCCUGAAAAUGAACUCUACUGUGCCAUAGAUAUAGCAUUCUUUGCAGAAUUGUCUUUGUGAAUGGAUGUUGAGAGUAUCUUGGUAACCUUCAAAGCCGCACUGUAGAAUAUCGAGAAAUCGGAGCCUGAUUAGAGGGCGACUGCUUAGUGGUUUUGUGGCUGUGUUGCGGAAUGUGAUGCCAUAAGCAAUGAACCGUUCUCUUGUCAAAGCUGAAUCCAACAAACGAACAUUAAACAUCAUCACUUAGAAAAGAAAAAAAUUAUAAAAUAGAUAAAUUAUGAGCACCAACAGUUGAAGAGUUGAAAAUUGUAAAGCCGCCAUCAACACUUCUGCUGCCAGUAAUAAUAGUCUAUUUCAAUCCAUCACCAACCAUCAUAAUGUUUUUCAUUUUAUUACUAAUCUCAAGAUUCUCCUUAUGCCCCUUUCUUAAUAUGUAUCACAAAUCUCCCAUUGCCCGUUCUCUUCAGCGCGACAUCAAGAUUUGUGAAGCAUGUUAAGAGAGGAGUUUACAAGGAGAAUUUUGAGAUUGGUAAAAAAUGAAAAACAUUAUGCUGGCCAGUGAUGAGUGAUGGAUUGACAUACACGAUUAUUACUGGUAGCAGAAGUGUUGGCGGUGGCUUCACAACUUUCAACUCUGCAACUGUUGGUAUAUAAGCAAGCGCAUAAUUUAUCCAUUUUACAAAUUUUAUCUUUUCUAAGUAGUGAUGUUUAAUUUUGGCAGUGCCCAUUGCUCGUGGCACCACAUUCCGCAACAUAACCGACCCAAAUAACCACCAAGCAGUCGCCCUCCGAUCAGGCUCUAAUUUCUCUGUAUUCUAUCAGUGCAUCUUUAAGGUUACUAAGAUAUUCUCAGCGCCCAUUCACAAAGACAAUUCUACAAAAAAACCUACAUCUAUGUCACAGUUGAGUUCGUUUUUGGAAAUGCCACUGUUGUUCGGCAAAAUUAUAUGAUUUAUGCAAGGCCGAUGGAUAAGCAGAAGAACGUGGUCACUGUUCAAGGCAGAACAGACCCAAAUCAAAAUACAGCAAUUUUAAUCCAUAAUUCUUGAGUUAUGGAAAAUGGAAAACGUUCUUAGGACGACCACGGAAAGAAUACUCAUGCACAAUUUAUGUAAAAACUUACUUUCGACCCGAGGAGGGUUCAUUGCUCGUGGCAUCGCAUUCCGCAACACAGCCGGCACCAAUAGUCGACGCCAUAGGAGGCAACGCUUGAAAGAGCAAGAGCAAAGAGUGAAAUUAAGGAUAUGAAUAACACGAAUAAGCUUAGCUUCAUUGCCAUUAAUGGAAGCUCAAAGAAUUGAAUUAGUACCUGUUGUGGUUAUGAAAAUGUGAGGGAAUGAAUCUAUAUAUAUACACGAGAUUGGUGGUAGGUUGGUGGUAGCGUGGCGGACUAGCAAGUUUUGAACAAAGAGAUAAAAAUUAAAAUCCCAACUGUCGAAAUCAGUCCUUACACCAAAGAAUUUGAUUAAUUCGGUGAGGCACCAUAAGCAUGAGCAUAGGCUCACAAGGGCCUUGGCUAAUGCUUGGACUUGCUUUGUCAUGCAUUUUUCAUUCGGAGAUUCCAAAUACAAUUAUUGCAUAUACAAUUUUGUUGAAAAUAUGAAUUCAAUUGAUUUUUUAAGAAAAUAUCAAGAUAAAACCCUUUUUUGUAUGGAUAAUUAAGGAGUAAAUUACCUAAGAGUACAUAAACAUUGGAGCUUCUAAAGAAAGUUGAUCUCUCAAGCAAAAAUUAUUUGGAAAAAUUCCAAUGUAAAUUACAAGUCUUGCUGGAUUAAUCACUCUCCAUGAAUCUUUCAAGAAACAAUUCAGUUGGGCAAAUUCCUUCAACAAUUAAUCAGUUAACUUUGUUUGAAUUCACUUGACUUGUCACCGAAAAUUCCCAUCCUAUAUAAGAAAGUUAGCAGCACACUCAAAAGAAAAAGAAUGGAUCCACAUUUUAUUCUUCAGUUCUUUUUCUAGGCACAUUAAUCAUAACAUGAUUAUACAUAUUCUAGUAUAAAACGUUUGAAUUAAAUUUUAAAUCGCACAAAAUAAGUCGCUAUUAACAGAUAAAUACAUUGAAUAAUAUAUCACCUCAGUAUGUAUAUGCCAUACGAUAAUAUACAUACAUACAUACACUAAUUUGUUUUUUCAUACAUACACACUUUUAAGUUGUGCUGUUUAAUAAAGUUAAUUUUUAAGCCUAUUAACCGCGUGAAUGACUUAACAAUGUGUCUGUAUUUAAAAAAAAAUUGAAGAGGCAUGCUUAUAUAUAUAAGUAAUGAUUAAUUUACAUGCCUAAAAUGAAUGCCACAUCAGUAGCCGCCAGCCAUGAGCGGCCAGCAAUAAGGUUACCAACAGUGAACCGCUAGUUAUAACACAAAAGCCUCUCCACUUGACCCUUUGUCUAGUGGAAGAAGCAGGCUCGUAAUUCUUAUACUCCCUAUAAAACAAAGCGUCAAGUGCAAAGUUGUUGCCCGGUGACCAAUUUGACCAGUCAAGCGGGCUAAAAAAGCCAUCGAUAUAAGUAGGUCUUAAAAUUUCGCACCACUGGCUUUAGAUCAGGGGCAGGCGAUACUCGAGAGUUGUGAAUUGAAAUUUCUGUGUUUUGAUCAGGGUCAUUGCUAAUGGAUCAUCCUAACUAGGGGUGGGCAUGGGUUGGUUUGGGUUGGAUUUUAAGUAAACCCAAACUAAACUAUAAAAAUUUACAUCCAACCCAAAUAUUUUUAACCCAACCCAAACCAAACCAUUUGGGUUUGGUUUGAAUUUUAUUAUCAAAAUAAUUUUUAUUUUAAUAAAAUUUAAUUAUAUCAAAAUUAUAAUAAUUAUUAAUUGUCAUUAAUUAUUAAAUUGAUAUUAAAAUAUAAAAAAAUAUAGUGGAUAAAAAUUAUAAAUUUUACAAUAACUUAAUCCUUAAAUUAAAGAAUACUAGAAAAUCAAAAUAAAGUUUAAUCACAAAAAUUAUUAUUUCUCAAUAAAUAAGAACGCACUUUAAUAAUAAACUUUCACAAACAUGACAUUAACAAUCUAAUAAUAAAUUUUGCCACUUGUUAUUUAUUUAAUUAUGCAAUAUUUAUUUUUAUUUAUUGUUUUGGUAGUUUUGAGUUAUGUUGUCUACUUAUAUGCUUAGUUUUAUUUACAUUCUGAUAUUAUAUAGUGUGUAUGCUUUAUGUUCUAAUUUCAUUAUAUGGUAAGCAAAGUUUUGUACAGGGCCUAAUAUGGGCAUUGCAUUCAAUUAUUGACCAAAAAUUAGCCGCCAUCUAGCAUAUUGGACCCAGUCCAAGCCGAGUUAUUAUUGAUCACUAGUAGAGUCUCCUGCUCUUUCUAUGAUGAUCCUUCCAUGUGGGAGGAAUUAUUUUUGUAAAUAAGAAAAAAAAAUUAUGUUAUUUACAACAAUAUGUAUUUAAUUUAAAUUUAUUUUUACAUGUUAUUUUCAUUUUCUAAUUGUUGACAAUUGAUCACGCCGUAAAAAAUUUAAUGGUGGCCUUUCACUUAUUUGUGUUCAUUUAUUUUGUUUUCAUUUAUUUCAUUUGAAAAAUUUGAGUGUUGUGGUUUUGUCCAUGACCCAUGGGUAAACCAUACCCAACCCAUAAUGAAAUGGUUUUCUAUAUAAAACUCACAUCUAACCCAUUUUCAUGAUUUACCCAAUCCAAACCAUUUAAUUUGGUUUGGGUUUGGAUAAACCCAUGGGUUGUGGGUUUAUGCCCACCCCUAAUCCUAACUUAUAUUCUAAACAACAAUAUUAAAAAGACAUUUUAAUUUUGUCUCAACAAAGACAGGUAAAUCAGUUGGUUUGAUUUCUUGCAAUGAAGUAAGAGAUUGAUGAUUUAAAAUCUCUCACACAUAUGAAAAAGUUCAAUUUGAAGUUCAAUGAAGUCUAUUGUAAUUAGAAUAAUAAUAUUAAAAAAAAUCAGCGAGAGACCUGUACAUAUCAGAAGAGGUAAUAAUGAAAGUAAAAUUUCCUAUCGUUUUGUAGUAGUAAUUCAAAAUAAGAGAGCCCAAGGGCAAAGCAGUCUUUUCAUGUUUUUAAUAGUAAGGACUAAAGUUUUUGAACCUCUGAGAAAGAGUUCAAGGUUGAUGAACAGAGCUAUAUAAAAGGGCCAAAAUCUUUAUGAACAGAGCAUCAAUUUGCUUGCUUCUUAUUUUGAUCUACUAAAAAUCUUGCAUUACCAUGAAAGAUUAGUGAAAGAACAAUGGCUGCCGCUUUUGCACCCAUGGAUGUAGGUGACAUUGACCGAACCAUGACGGUUUCAUUGUUCUUCGUUUCUCUGAUAUUGAUCUGUCAGUGACUCAAUGGUUUUCUUUGAGUUAGUGUGAUUCUUGAUACCAGUUCAAUUUUUGUGGGGUUAAAUUGAGUCGUCCUUAAUCUACUAAAAAGUGUUCUCUAAUUAAUGAAUUAUGUUAAUUAUUAAAAUGGAUGCAGGUGUCAGGUUGAUUAUGUUGAAUAAAAAGAGUAAAACAAAAAAAAAAAUCCAAAGAAAUUAAAAACACACUCUAAAAGAACUCACGAAACACUCUUAAAACAAACCAAGACCCAAUGGCUAAAUGUCUUAUUUGUUUUUUAUUUCUUCUCGGAUGAUUAUACAAACAAGCAAAGGGGUAUUUAUAGUUUGGCAAAUACAUUGCAGUCCACACAUUAAAAAAACAAAGAAAAAAUUACAACCUUGCGCAACAUUGCCUUACACCUUUACUUUCCAUUACUCACAUUAAAAAACUAUAUAACUUAUUGUUUGCACUCCAUUAUUUGCACUCACAUUAAAAAAGUAUAUAGCUUAUUGCUUCACUCAUUUGCACUCCAUUAUUAUAAUGUAGUUUAUAACCACCUAAUUUAGAACCUUCUCAUGCUUGGGCUUGAACUUCAAAUUAUUUCUAACACCCUUGGAUCUUGAUAUUGGGCUGGUGUUGUUUAAUUUCAACAGAUUAUUUACUAGGAAGAAUCCAAUGGGAAUGUCUUACAUGGUGGGAUAUGGCCAAGAGUUCCCUCAUAGAAUACAUCAUCGAGGCUCUACUUUGCCUUCCAUUGAUAAAUAUCCAAAGCGCUUAAAAUGACGUGAUGGCAAUGAAUUCUUCAAAACAAAAUAUCCUAAUUUGAACGUGUUGACUGGGGCAAUUGUUGGGGACCUGAUAUCAAUGAUAAGUUCAAGGAUGAUCGGUAAUUGGAAACUAUCGAUCGAGCAAACAACCUGCAUAAAUGCAACUUUUUUUUGGAGUCUUGGCUUUACUUCAAAGUGUAUCCCACUAGUUAGAAUUUGUAUAAUACUUGCCCAAUUCUCUUCUGAAUGGAGUCCUGGAGAGUUGUGUUUUGAAAGAAUUGCAGUGCUAGUUAUGGCUAUUGAUUGACAUGUUAAUUAAUUUUUUAAGUUUUUUAUAACUAAAUUAUUGAAAUGCAUCCCAAAAAGAAUAACUGAGUUGGUUGAUCUAGAUCUAUUGGUUGGUGCAAGAGGUCAAGGGAUCAAAUAAUUUCAUUCGCACCAACAUUAGAUGGAGAAUUUCUUUAACGGAGGCAAACAGCUAUUACUUUUUAUCAUUUUUGGGUAUAUUUUGAGACAACUAGCUAGCAUUACUAUAUUACCUUUUAAUGUAGGCAAACAAUAAUUGACUUUUAUGGUUACCUAACGUAGGCAUUACCCAUAAUUAAUAAAAUUUAAUGGUUUCCUAUUUUUAUAGUAUAAUAUUACGUUUUAGAUUUCAAGUAGAAUCUACAAAUUUCCAAGCUCCUUUUUGAAAUGGUAGUUAAUGUAUGAAAAUUUGCAUAGCAUAGACUUCACAUGACUGAAGAUUAAGUUUCUAGUUGUUAAGAUAAUUAAAUUGAUUAAACAUUAAUCACAUGCUGAUUAAUGUUGUUAGUUAAACAGAGUCUGUUAUCCAUGGUGACGUGGCUGCUUAUCUGGCAAGUUAGUUUUAGUUACUAGCUUAGCUAAUCCAGCGUGUGUUAACAGAAUGAAGAAGAUUCCAGAUCAUAGUAUAUAAACGUGUGUAACUAAUCAAAUUUACUCAUGAAUAAAAUACAAGAUUUUCUCUUUCUUGCUUCUCUGAUUUUUCCUUCCAUUUUCUUAGUAAACAAACAAACUCAUCAUUCUUAACUCUAGUAGAACACUUAAGGUAGGGGUGGAGGGUACAAAAAAAUGAUAAGUGGAAAAUAUUGUUAGGGUUGGUGGGGAUGAUGGUAGUGGUAAGAGUGACAGCUUCACAUGAUUAUGGGCAUGCUUUGGCCAAACCGUAUUUUGUUCUUUGAAGGCCAGAGGUCUGUGAAAUUGCCUUCUACUCAAAGAAUGAUUUGGAGGAAGGAUUGUGUUCUUCGGGAUGGCUCCGAUGUUGGUGUAAGUCUAUCCAUCUAUCCAUGAAUUUAUCUAUCUUUCUUUAAACUUCUUUCGUUUUCGAGGACAGGGAUGACUCCAGCAAAUUUCAGGCCUAAGACCAAAACCUUUUAACUAGUCUCUUUUUUUUUUUUAAUAGUUAUUUCAAAAAAUUCCACUAUUGAAAAUAAAUUACAAACAAGUAAAAAAUCACAUCAUGUAAUAAAUAAAAAAACUUAAGAAAAUAAGUAUAAUCUCAUACUAGGAAGUGGUUAAUUGUGGGUGCCUUCGAGCAAAAAAUUGAAUUGUAAAAUUGGUCUUCACUCAACUUUCUAGUUAGUUGAAUAAUUUCAGUGGGAGGAUUAUGUUCAAUUAUAUAGAUACUAAAGGUAUAAUUUGAUGAAUUGUUUAUUACAUUUUUAUUAUUUAUUCAAUAGUCAUUAAUUACGUAACAAAUUUUUCAGCUAGAUCUAGCUGGAGAUUAUUACGACGCUGCUGACAAAGUAAAAUUCAGUUUCCGAUGGCUUUCUCAACAACAGUGCUGGCAUGGAGCAUGUUAGAAUUUGGUCAUCUUAUGAGCUCAGAACACGAACAUGCAUUAAUGGGGUACAUGCUAUUUCCUGAAGGCCACGAGUGUCCCUGGAAAAGUUGUUGCUUCAGUUGGUAACCCCAAAAGUGAUCAUAACUGUUGGGAGAGGCCUGAAGACAUGGACACUCUCCGGACCUCGUAUGUCGCUAAUACAACAAAACCCGGUUCAGAAGUUUCAGCUGAGAUCUCAGCAGCAUUCGCAGCUUCAUUCAUGGUCUUCAAGUCUGCUGAUUCUUAGUACUCCAAUCUUCUUCUCCGGAGAGCAUCUUAGGUACUUGAGAUUGUUUCUUUUUCAUCUAAAAUAAGUUUUGAAUUUAUAAGAUCUUUAGUAUUCUUUUUUUUUUUUUCCUGGAGUAGGUCUUUCAAUUUGCAGAUCAGUAUCACGGCUCUUAUAAUCCAAGCGUUGGAGGUGGGUCUGCCCUUUCUAUUGCGAUUUUAGUGGCUACAUGGUACAGACUACAAAAUAUUGGGCAGUCUGCUCGGCAAAAGUAUCCAAAAAUUAAAUUUACCGGUUAAAAAUGUUAUAGAUUUUGUGUUCCAGGAUGAAUUGUAUGGGCUGCUGCCUGGUUAUUCAAAGCCACCAACACACAGAGAUAUUGGAAAUAUGUUGUUGACAAAGCUGAGAUUAUCAGCGAUAUGUUUUAAGAAUUCGGAUGGGAGUGGAAGAAUGCUGGCAUAAGCAUACUUGUUUCCGGAUAAUCCUAUUAUUGACAUCUCUGUUUUCUAAUUAUAACUCAUCAUUGCAUGUUCUCAAUUUUAUACAACACAUCAUUGCACCAUCUUUUUGUUUUUCCCCCUUCCUGUCUUCACAAUGGGUUAUGAACGCCUCCAAAUCUUAUCCGUUUGUACGCCAUGCCGAUCAAUUUAUCUGUUCUGUAUUGCAUGAAUCACCUACCAAAUGGGCACAUACUCUCGUGGUAGUAUUUUCUGUAACUCAAACUUGCCUAAGAAACAAAAUAAUAAGCUAGUUGAUUUGAAAAGAUAUAUGCAUUUUGCCAAAAAAAGAAAAAAGAAAAAAGAGUAUCCACAUAUCAGGUGGUCUAAUGUUCAAACCUGGAAGCUGCAACUCGCAACAUUUUACAGCUUUGCCCUUUAUUCUUCUUGUUUAUUCUUAGUAGUUGACAAGGUUCAAUAGAAGUUUUCAGUGUGACAACAUUGCUGUCACUCCAUCUAGGCUUGUACAAGUGGCGAAAACACAGGUAUGCCUUCUUGAUCCCAACUAUUAAUUUCCAGUCGUGGGCUGUGCAGCUGAUUUAUGUUCUAAUAACAGCACAUAUUGCGGGAGACUUUCUUGUUAGAUUUAUUUCUCACAUUAUGUGGACUGGCAUAAAUCAUUCUAAUUGUUUUCUAUAUUUUACCGAAUUAAUACGUGACUAUUGUCAAAUAUUAUGGAGCAAUUUUGACAGACUCAUUUAUUAAGUGAUCAAAUAUUGUGUUAAUGAGUCUGAUUUUGACAUACCUUAUACAGUAGUAUAUUAUGGACAAGUAUAAUCCUUAGUUGUGUUAUUUUAGCUCAUAAUGGGAUAGGCAAUUUUGUACUAACACGUGAGGGGUCCCUGCGCUCAACCACUGUAUUUAAGUAACUUCAACCCAUUGGAAGUUCACUGUUCAAAAAUCUGUGGCAUGAGUGCAGUGCACCUCUCUCUCUCUCCCUCUUGUCUCCCGUGUGUGCACAGUAACUUAUUGAGGAAAGCUGAACCUUGAGCUGAAGGAAAAGGAAGUGGGAAUUCAGAAGCUGGAUCAAAGUUGUAGCAACUCUGUUAAAGCUCCAUAACAAGCUUCCAAGCUCGGAUCCAUGGGAGAUCAUGGUAAAUUUCGAAAUUACCUAAAAUAUGUGUUUAUUUGGAAAUGCAAGAUUAAGGGCAUAAAGUUUGUAUUUGUUUCAGCAUUUCUUUGUCAAAAGUGAUAAAAAUUAAGACAGUAACCUAGUAAGACAAUGUUUGGCAUUGAGCUCAGCUGUUUUGGCUUCUAACCUGCAUCCAUGAAAUAUGGAAAUGGUGGCAACCACUUAUAAAUGGGGUAAUGAUCUUCUUCUCAGAUAAACUCUUUUGAUCUAACAGCUGCUACGCAUUGUCCUUUACAAAGGACAAUUGCGUUUCUCUUCGCUUCAACCUUAAGCUUACCUGCAAUGGAUCUAAAAUAUUCUUAAAGAAUUGCCGACUCACCUAACAUGUCAGCAACAUUUUCUUAGUCACCAACUGAUCAUGUAAAUGAUAUCGUUGAUGAGGCCUAGUGAAGAAUUGUUCACUGAGACAAUACGUCGAACAACUAGUUCAUUUCAUCAAACACCUCAUUCUGUCUAACGAUGAACGACAGGGUGAGAAGUAAAUAUUCUUUGUCCUAUAAAUGUUGGUGUUUAUCAAAUACCUUAUAGCUACUGUACUUUCAUAGCUAAACAGAAAACAGCAAUUACAAACACACCCUAAAAUUGAUUGCUUACGCAUCAGAUGCAGUUGAAUUCAUAUCUUAUAAAAGAUUCUUAACACAUAUCUUAUAAAAGAUUCUUAACAGCAAGAGUAUUGUCUACUGAUUUAAUCAGCUAUUGGUUACCUGAAAAUAAAGUGUAAAAUGGAUGCAGGUUGAUUAUUUACUAGGAAACAAUCCAUUGAGAAUGUCAUACAUGGUGGGAUACGGCAAAAAGUUCCCACAAAGUAUACAUCAUCGAGGCUCUACACUACCUUCCAUUGCUAAAUAUCCAAAGCGUAUAAAGUGUCACGAUGGCGACAAAUUCUUCAAAAGACAGGAUCCUAAUUUGAAUGUGCUUACAGGAGCAAUUGUUGGAGGACCUGAUAUCAAUGGUAACUACAAGAAAAUCGGCUUAAUUGUUAACAAGCCGAGCCAAAUAUAAAUGCAAAGUUUGUAGGAGUUUUGGCUUACUUCAAAGGAAAUCCCAAUCCUUAGAAACUUUUAUUUAUCUAAGUAUCCUUAGCAGCUAGCAGAAAUCAGAAUCUUCUAGCUGAAACUUCAGUAAACGUGUCGAUUUUACGAAUCUUUUAGCUUUUUCUUGGCAAUUGCUGCAUUCUAUAAAAUGGUAAAAGAUAAUGGAACUUGGACCAAGGUCAGCGUCAAUUCAAACAGAAGAAACUUUAUUGAUUGAAGUAGCUAGUUGGGAUACUUAGACCAAAAAAGAGAAGAAAAUUGGGGUUACCAUAAGUUUGAUUCUCUCCUGAUUUGGAUAGUAUUAUACAACAUAAGUUAGCAGGAUGUAUAUGGGAAUAUUAAACCAACUGGAGAGAAAUCAUGGAAAUAAAUAAAAGAAAAAAUGGAAAAGAAGGACGAAUUUAGUUGGAAAUCUUGAAUCUCUUGAUUUUUCUUCCAUCAAUUCUUGAUUAUCUUCUUUGACUUGCCUUCUUUUUUCUUUCUAUUUAUCUUGAUAUCCAUUUUACAGUUGUCUUAAUUUUCUACAAGAACAUCAUUUUUUUGCCCUUUCUUUACCCCGUGCAAAGACAACCUAUAUGUUUGCCCUAGUAGUAGGGAGAAAAUUUUAAGCCUUUCUAUUGUGUUUUAUGAGCAUUGCAAUGUUGAAUUCCCAAGGAAAGAAGAAAGUACCAAUUAUAGAGAAUUAAAUCAGGCACUAUUUGCCACCAUAAUGCCUCUUCAUAUAAUUAUGACUCUUACAGUGUGGACCUUGCAUAUAUAGGAAUUUACUCAUGAUUAAAAACAAUUAAUUGGUGCCUCUUUUUAUAGUAUAGUAUUUGCCAUUGAAAUUUUAUGCAAGAGCUUUAUGUUCCUACCUAUUCUGAAAUGGUACAGGUGAUAAAUUUUUUGCAUAGACUUCACAUCAUUGCUUAGAACUUAGAAGCUUAAUUAAGUUUCAUUUGUGAAUGGUGGUGGGCUGACAGGAGUUAGAACUUGAAAGAUAAAAAAUGAAUGGAAAAUAUAGAAGCAUCCAAAUGUUGUUAGGAUUGGUGGGGAUGAUUUUGGUAGUGGGAGUGGCUUCACACGAUUAUGGCGACGCAUUGUCGAAGUGUGUUUUGUUCUUUGAAGGCCAGAGGUCAGGGAAGCUACCAUCUACUCAAAGGAUGACUUGGAGGAAGGAUUCUGCUCUUCGUGAUGGCGCUGAUGUUGGUGUAAGCCUCUCGCUGUUUAGAUGAACAUUCAAUUCUCUGAUAAUAAAACACGUUUACAAUAUUUUGGUGAACAAUUUCAGGUAGACUUGGUGGGCGGUUAUUAUGAUGCUGGCGACAACAUAAAAUUCAGUUUUCCAAUGGCUUUUACAACAACGAUGCUGGCUUGGAGCAUAUUAGAAUUCGGCAGUCAUAUGGGCCCAGAGCAGAAAAAUGCACAAGAAGCUCUGAAGUGGGGAACAGACUAUUUCCUGAAAGCCACCAGCGUUCCAGGAAAAGUUAUUGCUCAAGUUGGUGAGCCCAAUGCUGACCACAAUUGCUGGGAGAGACCUGAAGACAUGGACACUCCUCGAACCUCCUAUGUUGUUAAUACAACAAAUCCCGGUUCGGAGGUUUCUGCUGAAAUUGCAGCUGCAUUAGCAGCUUCUUCCAUUGUUUUCAAGUCCGCUAAUUCACAAUACUCUAAAAUUCUUCUCCAGAGAGCAUCUCAGGUACUUGAGCACCAAACCAGUCAUCUAACAUAUGUUUUCAAUUGACGAGUAAUCAUUAUCGUUAUUAUUAUUAUUUUUUUAAUCCUGGAAUAGGUUUUUCAAUUUGCGGAUCAGUAUCAGGGCUCUUAUAACACCAGCGUCGGGAGUGGGGUCUGCCCUUAUUAUUGCGAUUUUGAUGGCUAUAUGGUAUCGACUAAAGAGUAGAGAAUUAAAAUUUAUUCAUUUGCAACAUUAUUGCUCAAAACUUAAUUCACAAGUACAGAAUUUUAUGGAUUCUGCUUUCCAGGAUGAAUUAAUAUGGGCAGCAGCCUGGUUAUUCAAAGCCACCAACAGACAAAGUUAUAUGAAAUAUGUUGUUGAUAACAUUCACUACCUGGAAAAUUCGACCAUGAGACAAUCCAAAGAAGCCCUAUUCGUAGGUGGUAGCUUUGCAGAAUUCGGAUGGGAUGCCAAGCAUGCUGGCAUCAACGUGCUCAUUUCCAGAGUAAACAUACAACAUUUUUUUUCUCCCCUUAUAAUCAAUUAGAACACAUUAAUCCAAAAUCUAAUAUUUUUAUUAUAUGAUGUCUUCACAGUUGGUGAUGAAUACAUCUAAAUCCGAUCCUUUUGUUCGGCACGCUGACAAAUUUAUUUGUUCUCUAUUGCCCGAAUCACCAACCAAGCUUGUCACAUACUCUUCAGGUAACAUUCUGUAGUUCAAACUGAGUUAGACGCGUAGAGAUUUUAGAUAAUUUUUUUUAAAAAAAUUGAAAGUUAAUGAGUAAUAUAUAUAAUUUAUCAGGUGGUUUACUGUUCAAACCUGGAGGAAGUAACUCGCAACAUGUUACAGCUAUGUCCUUUCUUCUCCUUGUUUAUUCACGCUAUUUGACAAGGUUCCAUAGAAGCCUUGAGUGUGGCAAUAUAGCUGUCACUCCAUCCAGGCUCAUACAAGUAGCAAAAACCCAGGUAUGCUCCUACAUUUCUCAUCUAGCCUAAAAUCUAUGUUAAAUUCAAGACGUAUAGGCGUCUGCAUUAGAAAAUGACUCUAUAAUCUAUUGUUGAUUACUUGAAAUUCAAGUAACACGCCAAAAGUCAGCACUGGAGAAUGACUCUAUAUUCAUUACAUGAAAUUGGUGUUAAAUUGACUGCAGGCUGAUUAUUUACUAGGAAGCAAUCCUUUGAGUAUGUCAUACAUGGUGGGAUAUGGCAGAAAGUUUCCCAGAAGAAUACAUCAUCGUGGCUCUUCCUUACCUUCCAUUGAUACACAUCCAAAGCAUGUAAAAUGUCUAGAGGGCAGCAUUUUUUUCAAAAGCAAAUAUCCCAAUUUUAACUUGCUUACAGGAGCAAUUGUUGGAGGACCUGAUAUCAAUGAUCAGUACAAUGAUACUAGGAUUAAUUGGUCACAAUCAGAACCUACCACAUACAUAAAUGCACCUUUUGUUGGAGUAUUGUCUUACUUCAAAGCAUAUCCUCAUCCUUAGAAGAUAUCUACAUUUGAAUUCUUGUUCUUCAUGUAUCGCAAUUAUAGCAUAUUUAAAGUGUAAGGAAACAACAUAAUUUGUUGAAAUUAACUAAUAAUGUCCUUAUUCAUUAAUUUUAUCAGUCGAAUUAAACUUCAAAGCUAGUAUUUGGGACUAAUGUGACACUAUUUGCAUCCCUUUAUAUAAAUUGAACCAUAACUACAAGCUGGAUUCAUCCUUAAAGCUAAGAAGGUCUAAGGACGAUGAAACUCGAAACUUGAAACAAGGUGAUGGAAAAAUCAACCAGAAGAAGGUUUAUUAAAUUAAACUACCUAGCAGAAAUCAUGAGGUUCCCCACCCCCGCCACCCCCCCCCCCCCCCCCCCAACCCCCAAAUACUGUUUAUUUGCUAAGUUACAGUUCAAGCAAAGCCCCCCAUCUCUAAGAUUAGAGCCGCUUUAAUUACACUGUUUAUGAUUGGUUGAUCAAUUUUAUACUAAAGAAAAGAGAUUAUUCUCAUUUGUUGAUGCAAAUUUUUGCUCAAUGUACAGUGAUUGAUUUGUGUUUUGGACUUUCUUCUAAAUCGAGUUUUGUGGCUUAUUUUUUUCGUUGAGGUAAGUGUCUCAAAUCACAUGUCUCCUUGUGGUUAAUUGUUUUGAAAAAAGAAACAAUUAUCAAAAGGUGCCGAAGUUGCCGGCGAUAACCCUCCAACGCUCAAGUCAACCUUUCAAAUUUGAUUAUAGAGAGAGAAUCUAAAGAGAGAAUGACAGCAUUUCUUUACCAUUUCUUUUCUCUUCCCUAAAAAUAAGAAGUCUUGGCCUUUAUAUAAGCAACUUAUAGUCAAUUGGAGAGGUUAUGUGGCAUUUUUCUUGUGACAAGCGUCAUCCAAAACCCAUGUAUGGAGAUACAUAUUCAUAUGUGUCAAUACUUAUUCAUGACAAGUAAUCUUUGGACAUUUGUCAUGUUUUUGGGUGCUUAACUUUUAAUGAACUUUAGCUUAAAUUCGGCACUUAUAUUGGUUCCUUACAAAAAUAAUUGAUUUUUCAACAUUUUGCUCAUAAGCACAUUCCGCAAAAUGCUUGUUAACCUGUAGACAUGUUUCGUAAAAUGUUUAUUGGCCCGUUGAUGUAUUCCUUAGAAUGCAUAUAUUUGCCUGUAGGCGUAUCUCGUAGAAUAUGUAUUUACCUGUAGGCACAUUCUAUAGAAUGUGUAAUUAUUCGUAAGUGCAUUUCGUAUAAUAUGUAUUUGCACGGUAUGGAUUUGCCCGGAGGUUCAUUCCGUAGAAUGUGUAUUUGCCCGUAAGCUUAGCACAUUCCAAGCUUAGCACAUUCCUUAGAAUGUAUAUUUGCCCAUAGGCGCACUCCGUAGAAUGCUUAAUAGCUCUUGUGCACUUAUUUAUAAAUAUUUUCUAAGUAUUUGGGUCAUUCUUUGUGAGGAAUUGACCUAGGUCGUUCUUUGUAAAUAAUGAACCUAUGUCAUUUUUUGUUGAAUCAUGCAUUUAACCCUUUGUCGAAAACUUGCCUUUUAGGCGUUUAUAUCUAGAAAUAUUUUCUAAAUGCCUAAGUCCUUCUUUGUAAGGAAUAAAUCUAAGUCGUUCUUUGUGAAUAAUGGAACUAAGUGGUCCUUUGUUAGGAAUUGACUUAGGCCGUUCUUUGUAAAAAAUAGACCUAAGUUGUUUUUUUGUAAAGAAUGGACAUAGAUCGUUCUUUGUUAAAUCUUGUCUUUGACAUUUUAUCGAAUACUCGUCCUUUGGGUGGGCUACUUAGAAAUAUUUUCUAAACUCCUAAGUCAUUCCUCAAUUUUUUUUAAAGAAUAGACAUAUAUCAUUCUUUGUAAAAGGGUAGACCUAGGUCAUUCUUUGUAAAUGGUGGACUUAGGUCAUUCUUUAUAAAGAGUGGAUAUUGGUCAUUAUUUGUAAAAAGUGGACCUGUAAAGAGUGCACUUAGGUCAUCAUUUGUAAACAAUGGACCUAAGUUAUUCUUUGUAAAGAGUGGAUCUAGAUCAUUAUUUGUAAAGAGUAGACCUAUGUCAUUCUUUAUAAAAAGUGGAUAUUGGUCAUUCUUUGUAAAGAGUAGACUUAAGUCAUUCUUUGUAAAAAGUGGACUUGUAAAGAGUGGACCUACGUCAUUCUUUGCAAAUAGUGGACAUACAUCAUUCUUUGUAAAGAGUGGACCUGUAAAAAGUGAACCUAGAUCAUUCUUUGUAAAGAAUAGAUCUACGUCUUUCCUUGAUGAAUCACACUUUUGAUGUUUUGUCAUAUCUUGCAUUUAGAUACUUUUGUUAGAAUCAUAAGUACCUUGACUAUUUUUAUAGAGAAUAAGCCCAUAUUAUUUUAUGUACAAUAUUUUUAUUGGGCCUAUAUUUUUCAUGGGUUCUAGGUCUCUCAUAAUUUGGUUUAAAAUUAUUCCUCUAUAUAAAGAGAGCAUUUGAAAUUAAAAUUCAAAGUUGCUUUUGAAAUUAAAAUUCAAAGUUGCUCUCUCUUUUUCCAGUUGAGCAAAGUAUGAUAUCAGCACUCUCUGUCACCGUCCGGCCAUCGACGACACUUAUUCUCUGUCGCCGCAGACACCUCAUCACUUCAGUUGGUUCCGUGUUGCACUCUCGCUAUAUUCUGAAUCUCAGGAAUAGCGCUAGGUUUCGCGCGCUCGCUUACGCGAAAUAGAGCAACUCUUCUGGUGGAAAUCGGCUUCCGGCGGUGCGAACUAAGAAGAUAUUACUUGUUGUUACUUGCAUUUUGGUUGCCGUCGUUAUGAAAUUCAUUCCGAGAGCACGUGUGAUCGUCUCUUGUCUCUUGGCCGCUCCUAGCCUAAUUUUGAAACUAAGAUUUUUGUGAAGAAACAAAGUUGAUAGCCGAAUUCAUACAAUUUUUCAUUGCUGUGUUUGACUUAGUAGAGAAGAAGAUGAAGAACAGGAUGCAGCAAAAGACGAAUGAGAAUGAGAAGAUGAAGAACGACGCUCAAGAAUAAGAAAAGUGGUAAAUGUGUAAAUGCGCAUGACAUUGACUAGAUUGCUCAAAGGUUUAUGAUGAUUCAUAUUUUCAAAUAAAUAAAAUAAAACAAUAUUAAGAUGUUUUCAAAUCUGAGUCGUGAUUUUUUAUUGCUCAACGGUUGUGUGAUUUUGUUUUAAUAAAUAUUUGUAAACAAUAUGUCAUACAUAUGGAAAAUGGUACUCACACACAAGUGUGCACAAAAGCUUGCACAAAAUGGUGCGUUUUGUAAUACAUAAAUGAUUAAGUAACAUUUAAUUAAAUGGAUAACAACCCCUAAAUGCAACGUAUAAAAAUAUAAACACAAAGCUUAGAUGUCUUGCGCAAUUGGAUUAAUUAGCAAUCACUUGAGCAUGCAGGGGUUGGAAAGUCCUUCAAACUUGAAUAAUUCUUUUGAAAAUUCAUUUAGUGAUAGUACCUCGUUUUCUCUCUAGGGGGCCCAGAACACAUGCAAUUCCAAUAGAUGGGCGUUAGAAUCCAACCAAAAAUGAAAAUAAAAGAUUUACAGGUCAAGAUUGAGAAAGAAGAUCGUUAUUUACUUGUAUCUCGUUAUUAAAACCAAUGUGCCAAAUCUCAUCUAAGUCGUUCUUUGUGAAGAAUGAACCUAAGUGGUCCUUUGUUAGGAAUGGAUUUAGGUCGUUCUUUGUAAAGAAUAGACUUAGGUCAUUUUUUUGUAAUGAAUGGACAUAGAUCGUUCUUUGUUAAAUAUUGUCUUUGACAUUUUAUCGAAUACUCGUCCUUUGGGUGGGCUAUUUAGAAAUAUUUUUUAAAGAAUAGACAUAAAUCAUUCUUUAUAAAUAGUGGACCUAGGUCAUUCUUUGUAAAUGGUGGACCUAGGUCAUUCUUUAUAAAGAGUGUAUAUUGGUCAUUUUUGUAAAAAGUGGACUUAGGUUAUUCUUUGUAAAAAGUGGACCUGUAAAGAGUUGACUUAUGUCAUUCUUUAUAAACAGUGAAUCUAAGUUAUUCUUUGUAAAAAGUGGACUUAGAUCAUUCUUUGUAAAGAGUGGACCUAUGUCAUUUUUUAUAAAGAGUGGAUAUUGGUCAUUCUUUGUAAAGAGUGAACUUAUGUCAUUUUUUGUAAAAAAAAAAAGGAUUUGUAAAGAGUAGACCUAUGUCAUUUUUUAUAAAAAGUGGACCUAUAAAGAGUGGGCCUAAAUCAUUUUUUGUAAAGAGUGGACCUGUAAAAAGUGGAACUAGGUCAUUCUUUGUAAAGAAUAGAUCUACGUCUUUCCUUGAUGAAUCCCACUUUUGAUAUUUUGUCAUAUCUUGCAUUUAGAUACUUUUGUUAGAAUCAUAAGUACCUUGACCGUUUUGAUAUAGCAUAAGCUCAUAUUAUUUUAUGUACAAUAUUUUUAUUGGGCUUAUAUUUUUCAUGGGUUCUAGGUCUCUCAUAAUUUGGUUUAAAAUUAUUCAUCAUAAAAAAAUGAUUUCCAUUUUAAGCAAUUUUUACAUAGAACCGAAAACUGUUGCAGCUCAACAAAUAAAAAAAAAGAUUUAAGAAAAUAAGAUUUUGUUGCGAGUCACUGAAAUUAUUAGAGCAUCCUUAAAAAUAAAGAGAUGAGGUGCUCAUUACUCAAACAAUGAGUGGUUUAUUAAUUUUUAUUAAGCAUAAAUAGGGAAAAUGAAAAGUACCAGAAAAAAAUGUAAAUAUUCGACUAUUAUUGUACAAAAUGUCAUUUUUAUAAUUUCAAAGUUGUUAAUGUCAUAUCGUAAAGCUUUUACUUCGAAAUGAAAGUCAUACUUUGUACGAUUGUCGUUUUUCAUUUCGUCACAUAGAUGACAUGUCUUAAGCUUAUAAAUAUGUAUGACAUUUUGUUUGUAGUUUCAACAUGGAGAUGAAAAUGUCUCGAAAUUUUAAUUCUGGAGUAAAAAUCACAUGACUUGUCGAUUGUAAUUAAAUAGUAUAUAUGAUAUGUUGUUGAGAGUCAGAUCUGAAAACGACAAACAUAAUAGGGUUGGAACAUUAUAAAAGAAAACUCUAGGAGGUUUUUAAUUAAAUAUCCUUUAAUAGUUAUAAAAUUAUUUAAAUACCCCUUCUCUUAUUUAUUUUCAUAGAUACCCUUACAAAUGCGUAUAAAGUCUGAAAUGCCAUAAUUCAUCAAAUUCACUUCACUUCACUAUCUUCAUAGUUCUUUCACUUCUUUCACUCAAAUCUCUUCUUACCGAAAUUCUCUCAAAAUCUCCUAAAAUCUCUCAUAACUUCUUCCAUAAAUACAAGUAUGUAUUUACUUCUUUAACUCCCACUAUUUUUUUAAUUGAAAGGAGAUGCAUUGCUCAUUAAACAACCUAAUAAGGUAUGUUAAUAUUGUUGAGUUUUAAUUUUUUUUUAGCAAAAUUUAUAAAUUUUCUUCACAUUAUAAUGUUUCAUUUUCAAUUAUUUUCACCAUUUUUCCUUAUAUGUAGGUUGUUUAAUUUUUUUUCAGCAAAAUAAUUUAUUUAUGGCAAAAAUGUUUUGUGUCGCGCAUUACUUUUGACAUCGUGUACAUCGUGUACAUCAUGUAAUUAGUCGUGUAGGUUAUGUAGUCAUAUAGGUCAUAUAAGUCUUGUAGGUCGUGUAAGUAAUAUGGGCGUGUAGUUAUUUGUAUAUAAAAUUUGAUAUUAUUUUUUUAUUGUAUCAAUAGAUAUGGUUUUGAUAUGUGUGUCUAUUCUCUUCAAUAGUGAAUGGAUUGAACAAAAUGACAAGUAUAAGUUCAAAGGUUCUAAGGCUAAAGGGAUAAUGAUACCACAAUUAACAACAUAUGCUGAAUUGGUGGAGAAGAUAACUCAAUUUAUUGAUAUAGAUACUUUGGAAUUUAAAAUCACUAUGAAGUUCAAGUUUAAGAGAUCUGAUCCUAUGCCACCAGUUACAAUUUAAAUCAAUGAUGAUGUAGAGUUUUUCUUAGAGAAAGUAGCUAGUGGAAUGAAGUUUAGAAACCCACUCUGCGUUACUUUUGAAUGUAGAUCAAUUUCAACUGUCUAGCAAAAUUAUAUUAAAGGAAACAUGUGCAAUCAUCAAAGAAUAAAUUGAUCAUGUACAAAUAAAUUAAUAGAUUGAUUAUUAAUGGGUUAGUGUAUGGUGUUGAGACUUGGAUUUAACAAAAACUAUAUAAAUAUAUGGUAUUUUAUUUUGGUAAGUAUGUCCUGUAGUAAUAUAACCUAAUAAGAACCUCAGUUGUACUCACGGUUAAUUAAAAAUAUGUGCAUAUACCAACCCAUUAAUUAUACAUGACUUAUCAUGCCUUAUAAUUUUCCAAUCACCCCAGUUGUACAUGAAAUGAAAUUUAAAAUUUCAAUAAGUCUGCUAAAUUUGCAUGUCUAACAUUUCGAGAAAUAACUAAAGUAAUUAGUAUAAACAAAUAAAGUUUUCUCGAGAUUUUUUAAUAUCUGGAUAGGAUACACUAAUGAACAUAGCAGUUAAAAAAUUACAAUCAUUUUAUUCUUUUUUAUUUUGAAAGUGCUUUCUUCCUCUACCCAAGCAUAUAUGUAUACAUAUGAGGACUGUCUGCAUAUGAUAAUUCCAUGAAAUCAAUUAGGAAAAAAACAUAUCAAUGAGAAGAAAAAAGUAUAUCAAUGAAAAGAAAUUGACUAGAAUAAUAUAUGAAGGUCGUGUAAUACAUAAGGGUUUUGUAAUCGUGCAGUACAUGUAAGUCGUGUAAUACACAACUGAAGGUCGUGAAGGUCCUGUAAUACAUGAUUGAAAGUCGUGUAAUAUUACAAAAAGUCAUGUUAUAUACGACUGAGUAUCUUGUAUUACAUGAACUCGUGUAUUGCACAACUGUGAAUCUUAUGUUACAUGACAUUACACGACCAAAUUGUGUGUUAUAUGAACAAAUUAUAAUAGGCACAAUCCAUCAAUUUUUCAUAAUUUGCAUGCAUCAAAACAACUAGAAAUUUGUUUUUGAAUAUGUUAUGAGAGACCCACAACUAAUUAAUCUAUUUUUUCAAUAUAAAACCCUAAAUUUUUUAUUUUUCCCUAAAUAUCAAUAAGAAAACUAAUUACAAAGAAUUAUUUACCUUAAGUAGUUAGAUUCUGACAAUUUUGCAAUAAAAGAUCAGCUCUCCCCGCGAUUGUGCAACAACGAACUAGGCUUCUCUUUCUCAGUUGUGGCAGCUUCCCCUUCUCAUGCUUGAUUUGCUCGUGUUGAUGUUUGAUUUAGCAUGUAUGGAAUAUGAGUGUUUGUUUGAGUAGAGUAGUUGUGUUUGAGUUGGAAGUGCUUUAAAAUGAGGACAAUUUAAUAAUUUGAUGUCAGUUUUUAAAGGGUGUCUAUGAAAAUUUUGGUAAAUUCUAUUUUUAGAGUAUUGAAAUAAUUUUAAAAGUGUCACUGUAUAUCUGCUACAAUUCCCUCGAACUCUAGGGACUGCUCUGUAAACAUGAAGAUCUUAAUAAAAUUCCACAAAUAAGCCCCCUCCACGUUGUGCUGGAGCAACCUAUAACUUGAAUCAGUUGCUUCUACCUUUUGGUCGUCGCCUCAGGAGUUUGCCUUCUCUCAUUUUUCAGCCGCUUUGCUGCUCUCCGCACUCCUUUCACAUCCCCACCUUCCUCGGAUCAAAAAGCGCUUGCCUUUUAAUAAGCAAACAAUUUGACCGGAUCCGCACAUAUCAUCACGUGGCCCCAUCACCACGUGCACCAACCAUAUUAAUCCAUAUCGCCGUCAGUUCUCACGAUUUACCCAGUUCUAGCCAAGGAGGUUCCUGAUGAUGAUCAUUAUUCGCAUCCAACGGCUCUGAUUUAACAUCCGACCCCGGCUCAUUCUCACCUUGCUGUUGCUGCAGUUGAUUCUGCUCUUCUUCCUCUUCUCUCCUCGCACGCUUCGCCCCAAUCGACACACCAAACAACCUCGGAGUCAGAUCCAACUCCUCCGCCUCCUCCACCCUCGCGCCGCCUUCAUCGGCCUUCCUCGCCGGCAGUAUCUCCACCGUCUUCCCCUCCGGCAGACUUACGUUGUCCAGCUGACCGGACGCGUAAUUCGUCAUUAAAGCGAGUAUGUUAUUACACAAUCCUUUCAACUGACUCAACUCGUUAUUCAGUUGCGCGUUUUCUUUUCUCAACUUUUCGUUCUCUCCUAGAAGCUCCGGCAUCGUCGUACAACUCGUAGUUCUAAUCACGGUCGUAGUCGGCACCGCCACCGGCGACGAAUUAGCUGAUAUCACCUGUUCCUCGCCGGAGUUCGCCGGCGAAAUCUACCGUGCAACCGCAGCGAUCGUCACAGUCCCCGCUGUGGCAGUUGUGAACCAGAACAGGGAAACAAGAUGCAGCAGAGAAAAUCAACUGCGUCGGGGCGGCCAUCUGGCACCGACGGAUCUGAUUUUUCGUAUCGGAUGGUCGUCGAUUCCCGUAAGUUUUCAUUUUUAUGAUAACAGGAUCAUAAAUUCAGUAUAUGCAUUUGAUUUGUUGGUAAAAUUUAACAACAGGAUACACAAAGGUGGCUAGAGGGAAGUCUCGUCUCUCUAAACUCAUUUUCGCUCAGGUACCUAAUUUUUUGGUAAUUUUACUUGUAACCCUUUGUGGGUUUGUUGAGUUUGAACCGGGUCACUGAGCUUUAGUAGGUUCUUUGAACUUCUUAUUUGAUUUGAUCAAUUGGGUUUAAUUCAAUUUUGCUUUUGGAUUUUUAUAUGUUUGUGAUUGCAGGCUGCCAUUCAAUUGAUAGGAUUGUUGUUCACAUUUGUAUUAAAUUCGAAGGAAGAGGGUCCCAAUCCACUUUCUCUUUCCUCUGCUUCUCUUGGAUUGGUUUCUCUUAUAAUUGGAGAAUUAGGUUGUUGUUUAACUUCAUCAUUUUCCUUUAAUUUUUGUAUGUGACUUGUUGGUUCACGUAAUGUUGAAUAUCUUCAUGUACUGUAGGUCGUAAGCGCAGCCGAGUCAGUCUCUUGAGAGUUUGCGUGGUUGCAUCGUCUAUUGCUGUGCUCCUCUCUGUAUUUAGUGUCGUCAGGACUAAUUCAAUUUUAGAGGUCAGUUAUUAUUAUUAUUAUUUUACUUUUCAAUUUUUUCAAAAUUGUGAGGGAAGUUUCAUUUUUCAUUGUUUACAAGUGUUAAUUUAUCUGUUUCGGUACAUUGCUAUUUGUCUUUUCAAUUGCACUAGUUUCAAAUGGAACUCCCAUCUUGAUAGAAAACUUAACAUUGUUGUUCUUGAUGGAUGACUGCACUUAGUAGUCUAGCCAAAAUAAGGGGCAGUGCGUUAGAAUAUGAAAUGACUGGGUGACAGACAUGUUUCUAACAUGUUGUGGCAUUUAGAUGAAGAAGACUUGUGCCACGCAAAAUUAACUGAUUUUGACUUCUAACAAGCAAUUCUCAUUCUUCCUGAUAAUAUUUAGAAUCUAUUUCUACAAACCAAUAAAUAUUAAUUGACUAUGAUAUAUGGUGUUCGUUGAAGUAUUGAAGUCCUUUUUUCUUUUUCCAAUUCUGGACCAGAAGUUUGUAAAAAUGCCCACUAGCUUGUGUUAUCCUAUUGGUAUUUGGGAAGUAUUCGCAAUGUCAAUCAAGUAGAGUGUGUUAUUGCUUAAUAGUAGUUGCCGCCUUAGAAUAGGUAAAGUUGAGUUGGUUGAAGAGCCCUACUUAUGUAUUUUUUAAAACGUGAGAAAUUUGUAUCUUUUUUUGAAGUUGGAUAUGUUGGGUGUGCACUGGAGAGUAAGAUUUAUAUGGAAUACAGUGCUCUGAUGAUCUGCUAGCAUUAUAGAGUGAUCAAGGAGUUUUUGCAGAAGUGUGGAUUUUUCUGUUGAGUCUUAUUGGGAAUAUAUGUGUGUUAGAGACCCUUUUUCUCAAGAAGUUCUUGUUGUUCCAUUAUAGAAGCUGACAAUGUUCAAGAUUAAAACAGUUCCAUUUUUGCUUUCUACAAAGUGGCUUGAGGAAAUAUGGAAAUGGAUCUUAUUGUUGAUAAAGUUCAUGGGGAAGUAAUUUUAGUUAAGUGACGAUGGACUGUCUAGCAUUGACUUAAUUCAACGAAUUUGAAUUCGGUGGUGCUUAUUUUUCUUAACCUUUUUUGUAAAACAGCAAGAGGACAUGAGGGGCCCGUGGGAAAAAAAUGAAUACCUUAACCCUGGGACAUCAUUGCAAGUUGGUAUCACAUUUGUUUAUUCAUGCCUAAUUUAUGAUGGCAUUCGAAGUGAUGGAUUUUGCACAGACAAGCUUCCUGAUUGGUUUAUCUAUCAACAUACAAUACUUAUCCUGUCAUGCUGGAAUUCCUAAAAUGGAUAAUCCAGUACUUAUUUAAUGCUAGUUGAGUUAUUUUCUAAUAAACAGAGUACAUAAGUCUUUCAGGUCCUAUAGAAUUCUACCAAGAAUCUGGACGUUAUAUCUCCUUCCACCACGGAUUAAUAAUGUUGUAACUAUUAUAAUUUCCAGAAAUCAUUGUGAAAGAAGGGAAUAGGGUAUCGAUCUACUUUAUAUAUUUAUCAAUGGUGAGUAUGCUCCCCUUCAACUCAUAUGUUCAGAAUGGUUACUGAGUUUGGAAUUAGAAAAUUGGAUCAUCAAGACUACAAAUGCAUGAAUGCAUGCUUAAAGAAAAAUGAUUUUCAUUUCAUCUCAAAAGUUAUGUUGCAGAGGUUAAGUAGCGGUUCUCUCAAGCUCUCUGACUGUAAUAUGAAUCUAUUGUUUAGGUUAUAAACAACCCAAGCAUAUGGGAAACAAAGAAGUUUGAACUUCUUGAAACUGCACGUGUUCUGAUCGGUAAGUUCACUGUCUUUAUGUUAACUAGUAUAUCUGUUGUCAUGCUUGUGUCAUAACAUCUAUAUAACCUAAACACUGUUUUCUAUGUAUCCUUAUACAGGAUCAUCGGUACAGAUAUUUCUUGUCAGCACUACAAUUUCCCUCGUUCAUAACAUGUCUCCUCCCAAGAAAUCUUCUUAGUAGUUUCCUAUAACUUAAAUUUUUUUUUUUGGGCGGGAUUGUAUCUUCAAACUGAGCUCUGUUUUGGCUGGAUUGUAACUGCAAAAUCACUUAAUAUGUCAAUGGUUAAAAGAGGAAUUUACUUUUGUCUUUCCAGUGGUUUGCUUUACAUCUUUUCUGUCUCAAGGAGCUUCUCGAUGGGAAUAUAUUUUUGUGCCUGUACUGUAGUUUUCAUUAUGAUGAGACUUCUUUUUCUUCUCUUUUUCCUUUAUAAGCAUGAUGCAGAACCAUGCCUCUCUGACCCACAUCUGUUUUAAUCAAUCUAAGUACGCUCAUGAGCAUGUCAGCUUUCAUAAAAAUCUUGCUCCACUCAUUUGCAAAUUCGAAACACAAACCACUUUAGAAUAUUGUAUGGUGAAAGCGUUUACUGCUCUUAUUUGGUCAGCCUCAUUGCAUUAUAAUCUGUAAUUCGUGAACAAGGAGAGUGGUUGGGCUGGCUUAGAGUGUGCUCUCUGGUGCUUUAUUGAGAAUGAGAAGGAAACAAAGAGAGUUUGGGACCAUGGGGCCAUGCCAAUGCGGCAAUGCCCACAAUUUCUUUGCUUAAGGAGUUAGCAAUAAUGUUUUUAAAGUAAAUAAUAGUUGUAUCAGUGCUUUGCAACUGGCACCAUAUGCUUUUGAGCAAUUUGAAAUGUAGAUUGAAAUUCACACACUAACCAAAAUGAUAGAAUAAAGCCAAAUAUUCCUUAGAUUUGUUACACUACCUACUAAAUGAUAAAUAUUCUCGGCGAUCACGAAAAAUUUCCUAGUAUUUGCUUGCACAGCCCAACUAACUACAAGGUAAGAGCAGUUGUGGUUUGGUUGAUAGUUUUUUGUUUGUCCAAUUUUUCUCUGUGCACAUGUGAUCAUAACCUAACCUCUAAUCAAACAGACCAUGCAACUAGCUAACAAGUUCAAAUUUAUAUUUAAUUACUAUAUAGUACAAAUUUACAUUUACAAAGCCAUUUGCCAACGCUUCUUCGACAUCCCUAACAGAAAAGGAAAAUAGAUAAAUCCAACUUUUUUUUUCUGGAUCUGCUAUUUGCUUGCAGUAAAGAUUACAUUUUCAUAAAUCUGAUCUCCACAGGCAGGAUUAAUAAUUUAAUACUGCAUAAAUCACUUACAAUAAUGGAGCUAAUCAUGAGAAUAUCUAACCGCGAAGAGAAGCAUAACUAUUGAUCAAAGCCAAGGCAUUGCUAGUCAUAUGAGCAAUCUUCACAAUCUGGGCCCUCACAACUUUCCCAUUCACCGUAUUCUUCUCAAAUCCAUCGCUGCAAGUAGUCUCAUCAGUCAAAGCAGCACUAACCCAAGUCUGUAUAUCACUCAUUGUAAGUUCAAAAUUUGAAGCUUUGAUCAGACCCAUUUCGCCAAUGGACUUUCUGAGCUCAUCAACUGAAUCACUCAGCUCCUCCAAACAAUCUUGCAUGGCAUCCACCUCUCUAGGCUUCAUUCCAGGGCUUUUCGACAUCUUUAACAUGACGGCUGACGUUGAUUUAGCCAUUGCAAGGGUCACGUUGAGGGAUGCAUGGGCGAGGAGCUUAGGGCUUGUUUGGAUUAAGCUUGCAUGUCUAGCAAGGGAUUUAUAGCAAAGUGUUGGAUAAGUUGUUGAACUGCAAGAUGUUUUGAUGAACCUUCUGUCAGCAGCAAUUUUAGAGGGGCCAUGUCUAGAGGCUGAGAUUGAAUUUAAGUAGGAAAAAAUGGCUAGUAAAAUGAGAAAGUAUUUAAGCAUAUGAUUUGAGGAUGAACCUUCCAUGUCUCUCUCUCUGACCUUUGAAAUUAUGAGCAAAUGAAGUGAGGAUUGAGUUAUGUGAUGAAACGGAAAGGAAAGGGUGUCCAUUUUAUAGGGCAAAAGUGCUACAGUCAAGAAUAUCAAUGGGACCCAAAGUUGACAACUGGCAGCCAACGUUCAAGAACAAUGUACUAAUCCUUCAAAGCUAUUUUAGAUUCUAAUCGAGGCGAGUGGUGAAUUUGAACAAAAUUCAUCUUGAAAUUAACGGAGUAAGCUCCUCUCAUAAUCUCGGUUUCUCCAUUACAGUAGCAGGUGGUUAACUGGUUAAAUUCAUGACAGUCCUUUGCUCUCUUAUGCUAGAACUUUUGCAAAUAAACCCAUUCCAGCUACAAAAUUUCGGCAGUGAAUGGUCAAUCGACUAUUCUGAAAAUUGUAAAGAGUAAGUAGUUAAAAGGAGAAAUAUCAAUCUCUGAAUAAAGAAAAUUAAAGAACCAAGCGAUAAUAAAUUUGUUUUUGGCAGGAGAUAUUUGUAUCUGAUUUGAUCUGUUUUGAUCGAUUAUUGUGAUUAAUUAAAUAGAUUUAUGUAUCAAAAUUUGAUUUAACCGAUCUAGUGCACUUCCGUGCUCACACUUUCUUUCUUUAUUAUUGGAACGUGUAACGCUCAACAGAUUCUAGAGUUUAUGUGCAACUGUUGGGUUAUUACUACUCAUUUUGCUUUUAGAAUGUCGACAGCGGGACCAAAAGGAAGGCGGGAAGCCAAUUCCAAAAAUAUCUGAGCACAAUCAAUAAUUGAUCCCGUCCUUAACUCUCAAAUUGUGCAGAUGAAGUUAAGGCGAAAUUAAAUCCAAUGCUUUUUGAAAGAUAGGAACAACAUAUUGGUAUUCAAAACUGAACCGCAUGCUUGAAUCUGGGAGCCCACAAAAUGACCAAGUUGAGGGAAAGGUUUCAACUAGGGAUGGCAAAACCUCGGGCCGGGAUUGCAAUGACCAGACCCUACCUGGAUGCAACUGGUCCCGGAUCGGGUCCGGGCCGGGUUUUAAUCCGGGUACCCGAAUUUAUAUUUUUUAAUAUUAUAUGUGUAUAUAUUUUUUAUUUUUUUGGUAAUUUUAUAAGUUUUAAAUUUAUUUCAAUAAAAUUUGACAUGAAAAUAUAAACUUUAAGUGUUUAAAACUUUAUAUAUGUAUAAUAAAUGAGUCAAAUAAAUAUAAAUAUUUAAAAUAAUAUAUAUUUUAUAAUAUUUUUUUAAUAAAAUCCGGGUUCCGGAUUUAUCAAGUGAUACCCAAUAUCGACCCGGCUUCAUACCCGGGCCGGGUAUUAACGCCCGGGUAUGGUCCGGGUCCGGACCGGACGGGUAUUUUUGCCACCUCUAGUUUCAACUUUGGCCUACGGGCUACUGCUACUGACCAAGGAAACUUAAUUAAAUUUGGAGAUAUAUUCUAAGAAAAAAUCUCUUAACAAGUUGUGUGAGUGUACCUACAGGAAAUAAUAUAAUUCGAUUCUAUCCUUAAACUCUCAAAUUGCAAAACAAGUUGAGGAAAUUGGCCUCACGUUUGCCCCAAAGAAAGGAAUGGAAAGCUGAAGAAAUGCAGUGCAUUUGGAUUUCAAAAUUUAGCUGCUUUAGCUGCGUAGGGUCUGUCUUAGCCACAUCUCGGAGCCCACUAGUUUCAAUUUGCAUGAUAAAGAUUAGGGUUGGCAAUGGGACGGGAUGGGAUGGGAUUUACCAAUCCUAGUCCCAUCCCGUAUAUGCAAAUGGGAUGAAAAAACGUUUCAGUCCCGUCUUUAUAUUUUUUUUUGGGACAAAAAUAUAUCUCAAUCUCGUCUCAAAAGAGAUGGGAUCCUGCGGGAUCCCAUCCCAUCGGGAAAAAUUGCCAUCCCUAAUAAAGAUUGCAUGAUGCUGGGCUUGGGACCAAAGUGCCACUAUCUUAAGGAAAGGAACGGCGUGGGGGACACUCCCACAAUUUUCGUAUUUUAGAUUAAAAAAAUAACUAUACAAAAAUUCACAUUAUUUUUAAAUAAUUGAAAUAAUGAAAAUUUUUUGGAUUUUUUUUUUUGUAUUGACUUAGAUCUCUUUAUAGACCAAUCAGUUUGCUUUAACAUAAGUUUAAUUUGACUAUUUUACUCCUAUAACAUAAAUUUACUAAAUUCUUACAAAAACAUUUGUUAUGUAUUGUGCCGCAAUAAUUUAGAUAUUUAGUUUUAUAACUUAUAUAAUCUAACACUUUUAGAUGAAAUCCAAUAAUUUUCAAUACCCCUGUUUAUAUGAUAUAAAUUUGACAUCCAAUAAAUUCAAUGCACAAAUGAGCAUACAUUCUCUUUUUGCAUGAUAAUGGCUAUGGAAAACACCAAUUUGCAUGUGGGGAGGAUGAUAGUUUGGGAAAAUACCCACAUAAUUUAAGAUUAGUUAUUGGGUUAAGAAUAUAAGCAAACAUCUCUCAAUUUUUAAGUAUAAGUUAGGCUUAUUGUCAUCUAUAACAUGAACUUAAAUGAUUAACAAUCAAACCCAAAACCAUGAUAAUGAGUCUGAAUCAGUUAAUCUACACCAAGAAAUAAAAAGGAUAAGAAAAACGAGGCUUUCACUACUAGUCCGAAACACGAAAGCGUAAAAGCGAGUUUGAUCAGUAAGUUAGCUAAAAUCUAAAUCUGCCCUCUACCUAUAUGAGCAAGAGUUUGAGAAGCAAAUUUUUUAUUUCAACGCCUUAAUAAAUUUAAACCGUUGAGCCAACUGACACCCUCUGUACUUAUAUCGGCGAGAAUUAGGGAUGACAAAAAUCCCCAUGGAGACGGGUACCUUCGGGGAUUUUCCCCAUUCGGGGAGGGUAUGAGGAUAAUUUCAUACCCAAUUUCUUAUUCGGGGAAGGGGACGGUGAAAUUUUUUUACUCAAUUUUUUAUUCAGGGAGGGGACGGGGAUGAGGUGGAAUCCCCAUUUCCCCAUUUUAAUUUUUAAUUUAAUUUUUAUUUUUUAAAAUUACUAGUAAAUAAAUAAUAAAUUUUGAAUUAUAAAAUUAUAAGUAUUGGUAAAAAUAAAAAAAAUAUCAAAUAUUUAUAUUAUUAAACUUUUAGGCCUAAUUAACUAAUUAAAGUCCUAAAUUUUUAUUUAUAACAUUAAAAAGACCGGACAGAUUCUAUUAGCCCAAAACUUUUGUUUUAAUUUUAAUAUUCAUUAAAUAUUUUAAACUUAAAUCUAUUUUUUAUUUAUCUUAAAUCUAUUUUUUAUUUAUUUUUAGAUGUUAUAAUUGCCCACAACAAAUCACAAUUUUAAUAUUUAAUCAAAUCUACUAUUUGCUCUUGAUUUGCUUCGACUUAACUAAUGUGUUGUAAAAGAAAUAGUCCACAUUUAUAAAGUGCCCAUGCCACCAUUGAAAAGUUAAUUUUGAAUCUAAAUUUGAUUUAUUUUUUAACAAUUUUAUAUUAGGCUAUUAAUUUGUUCAUAAUAGUUUUUAUCUCUUGCAUGCUGCGUUACUUACUAAUUUAAUGUAUGUGACUUUUGUAAUGGAUAUUAAUGUAAGAUAUAUUUCGAACUUUACUUUUAUUUGAAUUUUUUAUUUUAAUAUGAUUAACUCAAAAUCGAAAACAAAAAAAUGUAUUAGUUAUUUGGGGAUCGGGGACCCUCGGGGAUCCCAUGUUAUUAUUCAAGGAGGGGAUGAGGAUUCUCUUAAAUAAUUUUGACGGGGAUGGGGACGGGACGGGGACAUACGCAAAAUAUCGGAGAUGGAGACGGGGAGAUUGGUCCCCUCCCCUCCCCUCCCCAUUGUCAUCCCUAGCGAGAAUAACAAUCUAUUAAUAUGUAGACUUAAAAUACUAAGCCGGUCGCAAAAGAUAAAUAUUUUAAAAUGACUUAUCAACAUAAUAGUGAUUAGUGACUUGAUUUAACCAGUGAGACCGAAGGAAGAAAGGAGGCUCUGACCAUGGGACCAUAAUAAUGCCCAUAAUUUCAUUGCUUAAGCAGUGUGCAAAUAAUCUUUUUCUAAAGUAAGAGUUUGCAACUAUUGAUUCGUUUGCCUGCUUAAUUGUUCAGCAUUCGAAAUAGCCUCACUUAACAAAAUAACGGAAUAAAGCAAACAUCCUUAGAUUUGUUGGAUGACAUAUACCCGCUAAUUAUAUAAAUCUCACUUUGUUAGUGUACCACCAUGAAAUGAUUCACCCUCAUAUCAGGUCACAUCUUUCAUUCGGCCCAAUCAAUUUCAAGAAUAAAAGAGAAACUCAUAAGUUCUUGAGGAAAUUCGUCAUGAAUUCAAGGUAAUGUAUAAAAUUUUAGAUUGAUGUGACAUUUUUUUAGGGCCUCCAUAUCAUCGUCUGUCACUAAUUUGGUGGAGCAAUUUUCGCUUGGUUCAUAGCUUCUUGUUUGUCCAAUUUUUCCUCUGUGCCCACGUGAUAUUCUCUUGGAUUCAACUGAAAGCUAAUUAUCAUAGUAUGUUUGCAUCUACCAAGUUAACAUUUACAACUUUACUUAGGCCUUGUUUGUUACUAAAGUGUUGGAGUUUUCAAGUGAUAAUUAUUGUGGAAAAAAAUUAUAAUUAUAAAAUAAAAGUUGAAAAUAUAUUGUAAAUAUAAUUUUUUUUUUAAAUUAAAGAUUUUAUAAUUUUUUUCAUUAUGAAAUUAUGAGAUCAAAUCAAUUUACUUUCUAAACCGCAAUAACUAAUGUUUACCAAAUAAUUUAAUAAGUUACAAUAGAGCGAGCUCAAUACAAACAUCCAUCUUCUACAUACCACCACUCAUUUCAACAUAUCUCUUUCCAGUUCUCAUUUUGUCUUACAGUAGGAAUAUAUUAAAGAUACAUGACCAAUAUUAAAUAGAAUUUUAUUUCCUGACAAAAGAUUAACAAUAUACACAUAUGUGAGUUAACAUUAAUGCUGAAGCUCAUCAUCAUCACAGUUUCUAAUUAAGCAUGAAGCGAAGCAUAACUAUUGAUCAAAGCCAAGGCAUUGCUAGUCAUAUGGGCAAUCUUCACAAUCUGGCCUCUCACGACUUUCCCAUUAACCGUAUUUUUUUCAAAUCCAUCGCUGCAAGUAGUCUCAUCAGUCAAAGCAGCACUAACCCAAGUCUGUAUAUCAUUCAUUGUGAGUUCAAAGUUAGAAGCUUUGAUCAGACCCAUUUCGCCAAUAGACUUUCUGAGUUCAUCAACUGAAUCACUCAGCUCCUCCAAACAAUCUUGCAUGGCUUCCGCCUCUCUAGGCUUCAUUCCAAGGCUUUUCGAUAUCUUUAACAUGACGGCUGACGUUGAUUUAGCCAUUGCAAGGGUCACGUUGAGGGAUGCAUGGGCGAGGAGCUUAGGGCUUGUUUGGAUUAAGCUUGCAUGUCUAGCAAGGGAUUUAUAGCAAAGUGUUGGAUAGGUUGUUGAACUGCAAGAUGUUUUGAUGAACUCAGUGCUAGCUGUAAUUUUAGAGGGGACAUUUCUGGAUGCUGAGCUUGAGUUUAUGUGGUAAAAAAUGGCUAGUAAAAUGAGGAAAUAUUUUGAUGAUGAAGAUUCCAUUUUCUCUCU
rnacentral:lncRNA from 1 species